rnacentral:lncRNA from 1 species
UCAUUGUCAUGCUUAGCUGCUAGUGUUCUUGAUCGAUGGCUACCGCCGCGAAGACUUAGUUGCAAGGUGGGCGGAAUUUUCUGGAUUAUGAUUUGUCGCCUGCGCAUCCAGACGAUUUGUGCUGUGGUGUUGAAAGGGAUUGGAGAAUAGGCUGCAGAUUGAAGGCAAAUUUGGUUGUGAAUAAUAAGAGUUUGAGAGGGACAGAAGAGGAUUUGUGAGUGAGUGAGUGAGUGGAUUGUAGGUGCAGCAGGGAUAUAGUAUGUGUGGGGUGUAUAGAGAGAAGCAUGAGUUCAGUUCAAUUUAGCUAAAUUCAGUCAGACAUAAGUUUAGAACAAGAGAUUUUCAGGGUGUUUUCUCUUCCUUUUGCAUCCCAGUUACUUCUUGGUUAUUCGAUUAUUGUAUUUUUUAGUCAGCAUUUCUUAGCUUUCUUCUUAUGCUAAGUGUUUUAACCCGAUCACUUUGACGAAUUGUCUCAUGUCUUUCCUAUUCCUCUGAUGUGUUUCCAGAGUAGAAAUAUUGGAAACAUAUUCUGCUCUGAAUAAUUAGGGGAAAACACCUGCUGUUAUGGUUCUGAGACAUGGUUCAGCUGAUAGUGAUAGGCACUGUGAGGAUUUAGCCUGUGCCGUCGAACUUCAUUCGGAAAAUUAUUCUAAUGCCCCUUCUGUAUCAAAAUUCUAGAAUUCGUCUAAUACUUCCUCUGUAUCAAAAUGUAACAAGUUUUCUGACACUGCAUAGUGUUAAAAAACGUACUGUCCCCAAGUCCUACGUUUAUGAGUGUCCUGCAUCUGAGUUCCUUUUCAUUUGCCCUGCCUACUGUAGCAGGAUGUUAGAACUAUAUAGAUGUAAAUUUGCACAGUAACUUUGCAAGCAUAUUACUCACGAGAGAAUCUACGAAAGCCGCUGAAGUACGUACGAUGACUAGAUCGGUGCAACUUUGCCCGUAUCCUUUUUUCUUGAUAAGGCAUGGUCGAGGUGCUGGUGAGAUCUGGCGCUCCUGCCACGUGCUCGCUUGCUUCAGAAGAAUCCUGCCAGGAGCACCAUUUUUCUUUUCUUCCUCCCAAGAAACAUACUCCACGCCCUGUGUUCUGCAGGCAGCAGCAGCUGCUAUGUUUAUCCUCAUUGUUUACUUCAAGUCUGCAAUCCUGUUGUUAACUCUUUUGAUUAGAUUCAUUUGCUGGUCUUGGAAGGAAAGGGGCAGAGAAGGACAGCCUGAGAUUCCAAUCCGAAUUAUUUUACUGUCUUGACCGUUGUCUGCUUGCCCUUUGUGGCCAAAAGCUUGUGACUGCGAUUGUUAACUAAUUAACCUUUUGCUUUCGGAGCAACGCUCUCUUUGGUAAGUUUUUAUACUGUUAAUUUUCUCCUGGAAGCUCGUAGGACGCCUUGACUGGUGAGUGCUAGUGCUAUGUUCUAUGUGCCACCACACUACACUAGUACACACAUUGGUCGACCGGCCAGCAGCAUUUGGUUCUUUUGAGAGGAAAAAAGAAAGGCCAUCAUGGUCUGAUACCGCACCCCUUUGCGUCCGGGACGACCGUUGCGCGCCUUUUGCUGGUUUUGAUCAUGGCUGCUCUUUUGAUCGCAUCAUUACAGCGCUCACUGGCCGUUUGGAUUGAAACGAGGGUUUACAUUGUCCAUUGGUUUCCUGUGUUCUAAAAUAUUUCAUUUCGUCCGAAUGUAAGAGCAUAUUCAGCCGUUCACACCCUCACAGAGGUUAGAAAAAAGCGCCGCUUGGGGGUGAACCGACGAUAUUUUCGGCGUGGGGCGAUCGGGUUACAAGCCGCCGCCCCCAGACGCCCUUUUUGUAAAUAUUUUUAAAAACAUAUUCGGCCAAAAUUCGGCAAACACGACAUAGAUUCGGCGAUAUUUAGACGUUUCACAGGUUUUUACAUAUAGAAAACAUAUAAUCUACUAAAAGAAGAAAACAAAGGGUUGCUGCCGCGCCUACAGGUCGAAGAACUUGCUGAAGGCGUCGUAUAGUCGCCGCCGUCGUCCUCUUCCUUCUCCUUCACACCAUGGGCGUCACUGCUGGAACCCUGCCUGGGGUCGCCCUGGCGGACUGGUUUGGCCGGGGCGACGCCUCGUCGUCGUUGUCCUCGAGGACGACGACGCCUCCCUCGUCACAGCCACGGCGCCGUGCGGUGAUUUCGUCUAGGGCGCGGCGUUGACGCUCCAUCUCCAGCCGCGCCCAGUCCUCCUGCGCCCACUUCAUGACGGUCUCGUCGUCGAGUGCGGCCACGUCAGCGUGCUCACUCUUCACGAGGGCGAGCCCCGGCUCCAUCUUCAGCUUGACGCGGCGGGAGGUGCUCGAGGAGGCGCGGCCGCCCUCGCUGAUGACGAGGGCGGCGCCGCGGGUGCUCCGGCCGAGUGGCGUUUCCAUGGGCUCGGCCUUGACGCUGACGAGCGCCGGCAACCCGGAGGAGUGGUAGGAGGAUCAGGAGGAGGAGGAGGACCCGCUUAGCAUGCGCCUCGGUAGCCACGGGCCGCCGCUUCGGCGGGGGGCCGGGGCUGCCGGGUACUCGAGCGGUGGAUCGUUGCCGCCCUCGAGGUACUUGAGGACAGCGUGGAGCGUGCAUCCCGGGGCACCCCACCACAGGCGGCGGUCGUCGCUGUUGUUGCUUCCCCUUACCACCGGUGCGUUGUUGAUGGAGGCGAGCUGCUCCGCCUGACGACGUUCGAAGUAGCCGCCCACUCCUCGUGGUUGCCGGUGUCGUACUCCGGGAGGUCCCGUUCCUCCUCCGACAGAGAGGCCCGCACACGCUCGAUCUCAGCGUGGAAGUAGCCGAGGUGUCGGGUGGUAGGUGCGACAUAUGCCAACGGGUGGCUUAUCAUUGUGGGAGCCAGUAAGACGUCGCCGGUGCCUGGAAGCGGGAUGAGGCGAAGACAUGCGCGCCGGCGAAUCUUACCCAGCUUCGGGGCUCUCCGAGGAGAUAACACCUCUACUGCUGCUCUGCGGGGUCUCCGCAUGAUCACUAGAUGAACGAGUGGCUACAAGAUGCUCCUUGAGCUGUUUGGCGAGAGGAAGAAGAAGGGCACGGCUAGCUCUCCUCUCCUCUCUAUGUGGUGUCUAAUACUAGCUCAGAUCAACCCUUUGCAUGGGUGCCCCGGGGGGUUUAUAUAGGCUCACCCCCCGGGGGUACAAUGGUAAUCCGGCUGGGCGUGGGCCCCGGCCGUCUGUGUCUACGCUCGCCGACUUCUGCGCCGGCUGCUGGGUCCCGCCGGCUGCCGGCUCCUUGGUCGAUAGGCAGGCCCCACUGUCCAGGGCCUUGUCGGUGGCUGGUUGCUGUAGCUUCAACCUGGUGACGAGGGCUUCGCCGAGGUGGGCGUGGCUACAGUGCCGCCGCCCGGCGGGCGAUCGCUGUAGCCUCACUGCGUCUUGUCUCCUUAAUGGGGCAUUUACUUCGAGGGAGGAGGCGAGCCGGCCGUGGGGAGCCGGGCCCGUCUUGGGCCGACUAAGGGAGGCCUGGCCGCCUUCGGGUGUCUCUCUGCCUGAAGGGGCCCACCGCCCAUGGGCCACGCUGCCAGCCCGUCGUGGGUGACAUCAGGGCCAACAUGGCAACAGUGCCGCGUCGGACAGGUCAUGGCCACCCCGCACGACGCACUGUGCCAGGCGUGCUCCGGGAUUCGGGGGUGGCAGGCUUUACUGUAGCCACGCCCCGUCACAUCGCCGUUAUGUGGAUGCAGACUUCGAGGGUAGGAUCUUGAUCGCUUGGUGGGAGCCGGCCUCUUGGAGUCGGCCUUCUCGUGGCCGGCUUCUUGGAGCCGGCCCACCCGCGGCUUUCUUCAUGAGGGCUGAAGUCGGGCCGCCUUCUGAUAGUCGGCAUGGGAGACAGCUGGCAAGGGGAAGGCGGCCCCAUGUCUUGGAUUCUUGAGGGCCGGAUCGGCUCAUAAUUUUUUCAGAAGGGACAGGGGGAGCCGGCUAGGCUACCCGUGGUCAUUUACUCCGACAGUAUUCCCCGAAGCUGAUCGAGCUUCGAGGCUAACAAAGGGACGAGAAGCUUGGUCAGCUUCCUAUCCUGAGGAGCCGGCUUUGCUUAUGCGCGCCGUCUUCGGAAAGCUCCAUUUCUCGUAGGCGGGAACACGGGUCGGCCUGUGAGGUGACCGCACGCCAUCCCGCGGGCCACGUGGCAAGGAAAACCUGCCAACGCGCGUGCGCGAUGGGACGUCGCCGCAGGCCCGGGCCCGCCACUCCUAGGCCUCAGCCCGAGCGCGGAUCCUCUGCGGCCCACACGGACCGCUUGCCUUCCCGCGGCGGUUUUAUUACGCCAUCAGGGCGCAAUAAUCGCAGGACGUGGGGGAGUGGGCGCAGUUGAUCUCACGUUCCCCCACACCACGCCUCCUCGGCUCCGCCGCAUGGGUCUAUAAGUAGGGGGAGGAGGGGGAGCGGCAGAGGCUCGCACGCUCUCCCUUGCUCCGCCCCUUCUCGCCUUCCUUCUUCUUCCCUUCGCCGCCGCAGCGAUCCAUUGCCGCGCCGCUCCGCCGUCGGACCUCUCGGUUCCUUUGGUCCCGCCGUAGCGGGGUCGUGCGCGUCUCCGCCGUCGCAUCGUCUUGUUCCUCGCCGCGUCACUCCCAUGGCGUUGUCGAGCUCGUGGGAUGGCUCCAACGUCCACGAGGACCACGUUGAGUUCCUCCGCCGGACGCAGCGUCUGCCGGGCGAGAACUACGUGCGGGUUCGUCAGGCGCCGGCGAGGGAGAUUUUGCCGGCACUGGAGGAGGGCGAGCGGGUAAUCUUCCGCUCGCACUGCCUGCGCGGCUUCGGCCUCCCGGCGAGCGGAUUCCUUCGCGCUUUUCUUGAAUUCUACCACCUCCAGCCGCACCACCUCACGCCCAACGCAGUGAUGCUGCUGUCGGCUUUCGUCACCUUGUGCGAGGAAUUUCUUGGGGUUCUCCCCACUCUCGAGCUCUGGGGAGAAUUCUUCCAGAGCAAGCUCGGCACCGUUGUCGCGGGUGUGCCCGCCCCCUGCGGAGCCUUCAUUGCCAUGAGGCGGACGGGCGAGAACAAUCCGUUCCCGCCCAUCCCGCUGAUCCAGUCGGUGAAGCUCUGGCAGAAGUCCUAUUUUUACGUGAAGAACGUCGCCCAGCAAGGCGACUAUGUCAACCUGCCGGCUUACGUAGCCGGCCCGCCGGCUGGGAGGCAACCCUCAUGGAGCUACCGGGCCAGGUCGUUGUCUCAGGCCGGGAACGCAGCCGUCUCCCGGCUUCGGGUGAUGAUCCAGUCGGAGGGCCUGACCGGAGCCGACCUGGUGGCCGCCUUCGUGGAGCGCCGAGUACUUCCGCUCCAAGGCCGGCCUCACAUGAUUUGCCAGAUGAGCGGCCGCUUCGACCCCUGCCAGCUGAGCACUAGGGAGAUGCCUCAUGCCGAGGUGUCUUACAUGGUGAACUACAUCUCCAACUGCAAGCUCGCCGAGGAUUGAUGAUACGGCAAGGGGCCGUAUUCUCGCGCCAACCCUCCGCCUGCCGUAAGUUUUUCUUCUUUUCUUCCUUUUUGUAGCCGGCCUCGUGAUGGCCGACUUCUGAUCAAUUGGUUUGCCCUUAGCAGAACCCUCUUCUUCCGCCGACGGUCGGGGCCACAGGGGUAGAGCGCCAGCUCCUCCCCGACCGCACGGUGGACGACGUCGACGAUCCGGACCUGGGAGCGGCUGCCAUGGAAGACGCCAUCAUGGGGGAAGGCGACGAGGCAGGAGGCGCGGGGCUCGGGGCCGGCCUCGAGGACUGGGCGGACGAUGACGAGGUCGAAGCCGCCCGGCACCGCCAGCCGGCGCUUGAUCAUCAAGGCGCGGGCCCGUCUGCCGGGCCGGCUGCCCAUGGUGGUGCGCAGAAACGCCGGGCCGCGUCGACCUUCUUCGGCAGCCGGCCAAAGAAAUCCAAGGCUUCCAUGGCGGCGACCAAGAGGGAUGAGGCGGCCGUGAAGGCGGCCCGCUUCCGCAAGGCGGUGAAACAGCCGCAGGCGAUCUCGGCGUAAGUCGUCAAAUGUCUUGUAUUUUUUUUGUGUUGUCCUCUUGGAUUGAAGCUCUUCUAAACCUUUCUUUGCUCGCCGGGCAGGGCACCGCUUUCCCUCGAGCGAGGUCCUGGCGGCUCCGUAGUUGGACCGACUGGAGGGUCCUCAGGCUCCCGCCACGUGGAUCCCCGCGCCGACCUCAUGGAGGCCACGGAGCGGAACGCACGGGAGGUGUGGGAGGAGCGGGAGGCGGUGGAGCGAAGGACCGCCCAGGCGGCGAAGGAGCAGGCCGACGCGGCGGCCAAGGCCCGGGCGGAGGCGGCAGCCACGGAGACGGAGGCGGAGGCCUCGCACAACUAGCCCCCGCUGCUCGUCGUUCCCCUCCGCGCCGUGGCCCCCGACAUCCCCGUGCCCCCGUCGGAGGAGGUCGACCAAGACCCGCCGGUGAUGGAGAGGAGGGAGGGCCACGUGGUCUUCGUGGAGGAGGCACCGCAGACGGCACCGACUGGAGCGGGCCAAAGCGGCUAACCAGCCGUGGCGCCAGAGCAGCCGGCCGGGGGCGACCGGAGGCAGGGGCCGGCCUCGAGGUGUAGCCGGCAUUGCAGCAACGCGCAGGGGGAGGUACCUCCGCGCCGGAGCCACACUGAGCUGCGGGCGCUAGCCAGACGACGGAGGCCCUGGAGGCGGCCAGCGCCAGCACGUCCGAGUGGACUCCCAGCGGGGGGACAGGCGAGCUGAACGCGGCGGCCCAGGAGGUCCGGAACCGGCUUCAAGCCCAGGCCGCUUCGCUGCAGCGAUAUACCCAACAGUUCCUCGCGACGCGGGCCAUCAUCCGGGUGAGCCCUCUGGCCUUGGUUGUUUUGCUUUUUUCUUUUCUUCCGUGGGGGUGCGUCAGCACACCCACUGGGUGUAGUCCCCGAGUUACGAGUCGGCUGCUGAGCAGGUGGCUUGGAACUUACUAGGUCCUGACAGCUAUCUUAUUCUUUCCUCCUGUCUGAUCUUCCAGGAGUACCAUAACCUCCGCGCUGCUGCCUUCAACUCCCAGGCUCAGGAGCUGGGCCGGAAAACCGAGGACCUGACCAGCAGGCAGAGUGCGUGCUUUGUUUCGUUCAUCUCCCGUGGGGGCGCGUCAGUGCACCCACUGGGUGUAGUCCCCGAGAUUCGGGCCGACUGCUGAGCAGUCGGGUCGGAUCUUCCUUGACGACUUCUUCCUUAUUGAUUUUUCCUUUGUCUUCAUGCUUGCAGGAGCCAAUGCCGACUUGAGGGGGUAGCUCAGCGGGGCCCAGGCCGCCCUUCGUGCCAAGGAAGCCGAGUACAACGCCUUGGUCCUGGAGCGUGACCGCCUGGCCAAGAAGUUGGCCGACCAGGAGGAGAGCCACAAGGCGGCCUUGAAGAAGGCGCAGGACAGCGAGGACGCCCUGAAGGCCGAGUUCGAGACCGAAGCGGCGGGCUGGGCUGAGGCAAAACAAGCGCUGAGCGAGGGCUUCUGCCGGAUUGAGGAUCUGAUCGAUGGUAAGCCACCUUCCUCACUCGUUGCUUGCCCCUUGCCCCCUGAUUUGUGUUCUGACUUGCGCUGCUUUUUGUUCUCUGUGCAGACUACUUCCCCGGCUACUCUGUCUUGGCCACCCAAACCAUCAAGGCCCAUCGCGAGGCACGCCGGCAGGCGGGGGCUGAAAUCGCGCCGGACGCGAGCCGGACGCUGGAGGAGCAACUCUUGGCGGUCCAAGCCCGGCUGCAGCCGGCCCACCGCAUGCUCCGCCGCCUCCAGCGCGCUGGGGCGCAGGUGUUGGCCACCCUCUGGCCAGGAGAAACGAUUCCCCGCACCCCGAGUUGGACUGCCGACUGCCUGGAGGUUGCGGUGGCCGCUUCGAGGCCUGGAAGGCAUCGGCGGCCCGGCUUGGAGCUUGGCGGGCGCUGCAGUUCAUUCGAGCCUGGUAUCCUGGGCUGAACCUGGACCAGCUGCGCACCUGGCGGCUGGAGGCCGACGAGGAGAUGGAGGAGGUGCGGCCGACUAUCGCUCAGCGUGCCUCGACGAUCGCCGAGUGCACUGACAUCAGCGUCUUUGCUCCUAAAAUAAAUGACGACGGUGUUGCCCAGCCGGAGGAAUGGUUCGGGCUGGAUCCGGCAGCGGGUGAGGACUCGGCAGAGGAGAUCGCUUCCAGCGAUGAAGGAGAAGACGACGAACGGGAGGAAGGCGAAGACGUCGAGCCGGCCAGUGAAGCGGCCAGCCAGCCCCAGCCUGACCGUGCCUCCAGCAACGAGGCGCGUGCUAGCGCGCCCUCUGCGGGAGGUGGUGAUCAUGACGAGGUUCGCCAGCCGGCCACUCCUCCAGCCAGCACUGCCGUCUCCACCGACCUGCCCGACUCGCCAGUCGCUCCCUUGGCUUAAUCUGUCGUCCUUGCUUUUCCUGCUUGUUACUCUUUGAACAAUUUUUGUUAAACUUGCGCAGUUCCACCCACUGGGGGUGUAUUCAAACUAUGUUGAAUGCUGGCCUUUCGAAGGCCUUUUGUGUAAGUAUGAUCGUGUGUGUGUUUGGCUUCCAUUCGUGUAUGCUUUUUAUCUUUAGGCUAUUUCCUUUGCCGCCUUCCCCUAGCUGCUGCCUUCCCAACCGGCAGCUGCUCUGCAGCCUGCGGCUAAGGAAGAACUUGGCUAUAUUUAUUAUUAUUAUUUUUGGGGAAGGCAAGUACUCGAGCUUUCUUAGAUUGAAGCUAGGUGAAUGGAAGCCGGCCGGCUGGCUACUCUGGUAGUCGGUCGGUGGUGGGAGAAAAACCAGCUUUUGUUAUAUUAGUCCGUUAGUCCCUAGCCGUUUUUCGUGUGGGCGUCCUUUCCUGCCUUUAACUCUUGCCAGCCGGACAGCCGGUUCUUCGAACUGCGACUUUUGGUAAGAGAAGGCUUGGGUGUCGGCACACUACUUGUCUGACCGCGGGUAGGACUUCUAAUAUAACUGAAGGCGGUCAGUCCCCAGGCCGACUAGUCGAACCCGGUGCCGGACGAAAAAAGUGAAUGUAAUGACAUGAUCAUAAGCAUGAUAUUCUUCAUUUAUAGAUAAAAGAUGGCAGCCCCCGAGCUCUCCUCGGGGGGCCUAUUGUCUCGUACUUAGUACAAAAGUUAGCGUGAUACAUACUGCAUUUCAACUGUAAAAUCUUCGGAGGAGGUUGGCGUUCCAUGGUCGUUCUGACUCUUGGCCGGAGUCGUCUCUCUUUCGUGCCUUCGGCUUCUGUGCGUCGAUUAGGUAGUAGGUGUCAUUUCCCAGCGCUCUGCUGAUGACGAAGGGGCCUUCCCAAGGGGCCGAAAGCUUGUGCUGGCCGGCUGUUCGCUGGAUCAGCCGGAGCACGAGGUCGCCCUCUUGGAAAGAUUUUGGUUUGACCUUCCAGCUGUGGUAGCGGCGCAAGCUCUGCUGGUAGAUGGCGGACCGGCCGAGGGCUAACAGCCGGCCUUCUUCCAGCAGGUCGACGCCGUCUUCUCGUGCUUCCUUGGCAUCCGCCUCUGUGUACAUGGUUACCCGAGGCGAGUCGAACUCGAUGUCGGUUGGGAUGACCGCCUCAGCACCAUACACGAGGAAGAAAGGAGUGAAGCCGGUUGACUUGUUUGGGGUAGUGCACAGACUCCAGAGGACGGCCGGCAGCCCAUCGAGCCAACAGCUGACCGAACGUUCCAGUGGUAUGACCAGUCGGGGCUUGAUGCCGGAAAGGAUGAGGCCGUUGGCUCGCUCGACUUGGCCGUUUGACUGCGGGUGGGCAACGGACGCUAAGUCCAACCAGAUGCCCUGCGUCGCGCAGAAACGUGCCAAAGCUCCUUUGGUGAAAUUCGUGCCGUUGUCGGUGAUGAUGCUAUGUGGCACGCCAUAGCGAGUUGUUAUAUCUGCGAUGAAUGUCACGGCAGUCGGCCCAUUCAGCUUCUUGAUUGGCUUUGCCUCAAUCCAUUUGGUGAAUUUGUCCACGGCGACAAGCAGAUGUGUCAUGCCGCCGCACGUCGUCUUGAAUGGGCCCACCAUGUCCAGUCCCCAAACAGCGAGGGGCCAAGUGAGGGGAAUGGUCUUGAGUGCCGAAGCCGGCAUGUGUUGCUUGGAGCUGAAGACUUGUCACCCUUUGCAAUGUUUAACUAACUCCUUGGCGUCAUCCAAGGCAGUUGGCCAAAAGAACCCAUGGCGGAAAGCUUUGGCGACGAGUGAUCUUGAGGCCGCAUGGUGGCCGCAUUCUCCUUGGUGGAUGUCUCUGAGGAUUGCAAUGCCCUUCUCUUGCUCGACGCAUCGUUGGAAGACUCCAGUGACGCUGCGCCUGACGAGCUCUCUAUUGACGAUUGUGUAUGCUCCGGCUCGGCGUUGGACUUGUCUUGCCUCUAUUUCAUCAGCCGGCAGAUCUUGGUUUAUUAGGAAGUUAAGGAUGGACUGAGCCCAUGAUGGAGCUGCGACUUCUUCUAUUGCCAACACGGCUACUGCGACCAGGGCGGGCGAGCUGGGUGGUGAAAUGCUGGAGUCGGCCGCCGCCUGUUGCGUUGGUGCAGUCCCCGGGCCGACUACCGCAGUCCCCGAGUCGGGUGUGGCAGUCCCCGGGUUGGGCGUAACUAUGGAAGUCCCUGAGCCGCUUACUGACGUCCCCGGGCCGACUAUCGAAGUCUCCGGGUCACCUGCUGGGUUCUUCGAGCCGGACCCGGCCGCGUCGGGGUCAGGCGGCACGAAGAUGGAAUCGGACUCUGGAGACGGCUUGAUAGAAUGCUUGAGGAGGCGUUGCAGAGAGACACCGGUUGGUAUUGCCUGCCGAGUGGAGCCUAUUCGAGCCAGGGUAUCAGCUGGCUCGUUGUCGGCUCGCGGUACGUGGAGGAACUUGCAUCCUUCAAAGUACCCGCUGAUCUGCUGAACGAGGAAGCGGUAGCUUGCCAUAUUUGCGUCCUUGGCAUCCCAGUCACCGGAUGAUUGCUGGACUACCAAGUCCGAGUCGCCAUAACAUAGGAUCCGGCGUAUGCCGAGCUCUUUGGCAAGCCGGAGCCCGUGUAUGAGCGCCUCGUACUCGGCCACGUUGUUGGAGGCGGCAAAGUGAAUUUGCAGUGUGUAUCUGAGCUUGUCGCCUUUGGGAGAGGUGAGGAUGACUCCGGCUCCCAAGCCGGUGCGCAUCUUGGACCCGUCAAAGUGCAUGCGCCAAUGAGUGGAGUCAGGAGCUGGCAGUAGGUACUGGGUCUUGGCCCAGUCGACGAGGAAGUCGGCCAGUGCUUGGGACUUGAUGGCGGUGCGAGGCUGGUAGAAGAUCGUGUAGGGGGCCAGCUCGAUGGCCCAUUUCGCCACCCAGCCGGAUGCAUCCCGGUUGCCUAUGAUCUCGGCAAGCGGGGCGGUGCAUACGACCGUGAUGAGGUGCUCUUGGAAGUAGGGCUUUAGCUUCUUGGCGGCGAAGUACAUGCCAUAGCACAUCUUCUGGUAGUGCGGGUAGUUCUGCUUUGAGGUAGACAACACCUCGCUCAAAUAGUACACCGACCUCUGGACCGGCUGGGCUCGACCCUCUUCUGGGCGCUGGACUACGAUGACGGUGCUGACCACCCGACUGGUUGCAGCAAUGUAGAGGAGCAUGGGCUCUUUCUCAGUCGGUGCCGCCAGGACAGGCGGCGUGGCCAGCAUCUUCUUCAGCUCAUGAAAAGCUUGGUCGGCUUGGUCGUUCCACUCGAAGUGAGUGGUCUUCUUCAUGAGGCGGUAGAGGGGGAGAGCUUUCUCUCUGAGCCGGCUGAUGAAGAGGUUCAGGGAGGCCAAGCACCCGGUGAACUUCUGGACGUCUCGAAGUUUGGUGGGAAUCGCCAUUCUCUCAAUGGCCUUGAUCUUUAUUGGGUUGCAUUCAAUGCCGCGUUCGGAGACCAGGAAGCCUAGGAGCUGGCCGGCUGGCACUCCGAACACGCAUUUCUCGGGGUUGAGCUUGAUCUGGAACCGGUGCAGGUUUUCAAAUGUUUCCUUGAGGUCCUCCAGCAAGGUGUCGCGCUUCUCCGUCUUCACCACAAUGUCGUCUACGUAGACGUGGGCAUUUCUGCCUAGCUGCUUGAGGAGGCACUUCUGCAUGCAACACUGAAAAGUGGCACCGGCAUUUCUCAAGCCGAAUGUCAUAGUCAGGUAGCAGAAAGCUCCGAAUGGCGUGAUGAAGGCGGUCUUCAGGCGGUCAGCCGGAUCUAGCUUUAUCUGGUGGUAUCCUGAGUAAGCAUCCAAGAAACUCAACAGCUCGCAUCCGGCCGUGGAGUCUAUCACUUGAUCAAUCCUUGGCAGGGCAAAGGGAUCUUUGGGGCAGGCCUUGUUGAGGCUUGUGUAGUCUAUGCACAUGCGCCACUUGUUCUUCUUCUUUAGCACGAGGACCGGGUUGGCGAGCCACUCUGGAAAAAAAACCUCCAUAAUGAAGCCAGCUGCCAGAAGCUGGGCUAUCUCCUCUCCCACAAUCCUUCUUUUCUCCUCCAACAGUCGGCGGAGGGGUUGUUUGACUGGUUUUGCGCCUUCUCGGACGUGUAGCUUGUGCUCGGCGAAUUCCUUCGGAACACCCAGCAUGUCCUUAGGGGACCAUGCAAAGAUAUCCCGAUUCUCGGGGAGGAAGUCGGCGAGCUCGCCUUCCUAUUUGCUGUUUAGGUUUGCCCCGAUAACGGCAAACCUUUCUGGGUGCUCGGGGUCAAGAGGUAUCUUCUUCGUCUCCUUGGCCGGCUGGAAAGAUCCUUGGGCAUCACACACCUUGGGAUCGGAGGACAGGGCCGACUGUUUGCUGGCCAUGGCCACGACUCGGUCCAACAUCUUCUUUUCUUCGGCAGUCACCAGGGACUCGGCCAGCCGGCUGCUGGCUGCAGCGCACUCAGAAGAUUUCUUGUAAUCGCCGGCUAUGGUGAGGAUGCCCUUGGCGCUCGGCAUCUUCAUCUUGAGGUAAGAAUAGUGGGGAACAGCCAUGAACCUGGCCAAGGCAGGACGGCCAAGCAAUGCAUGGUAGGGGCUCUCCAGGUCCACCACUUCAAACCAGAUCGCUUCUUGGCGGAAAUGCUCCUUGUCCCCAAAGAGUACAUCAAUCUUGAUCUUGCCAAUGGGGGCGCAGGACAGGCCAGGUACAAUGCCAUGGAACACAGUUCGAGUAGGCAUGAGUUGCUUCGUCUUGACGUUCAGCUUCUCCAGGGUGUCACGGUACAGGAUGUUGAUGCUGCUCCCGCCGUCUAUCAGCACUCGGGAGAAACGGGCGGCGCGUCUUUCCGUUGCAAGGGUGGCAUCCAAAACCAACGCAUAAGAGCCGGGAGAUGGCAUCACCUCUGGGUGGUCGGCCCGGCUCCAGCUGAUAGGCUUUUCUGACCAGUGCAUGUGCUCGGCGGGGUUGGUAGCGACCAUGUUGACUUCUUGGUGCUCUCGGCGUCCGCUACGCCGGCCUUCGGGCUGGCUUGUAAAGACGAUGUAGGCGGCAUGCUCGUCGGGGAACUCAUCGUGCACAGCUCCGACUGCUGGCCGAGCGGUCAGCGGCUGUGGAGCCGGAGGCGGCGGGCCAGCAGGCGGAGGCGGCGCGAGCCCUUCGCCUUUGGAGAUUCGGGUGAGCCAGUGGCACUUCCGGGUUGUGUGGUUGGACGGCUUCGCACCGCUGUGGAACUUGCAUGGGGCUUCGAGAGUUUGCUCGUAGGAGAAGGCCGGCUGCCAAGCCGGCCUACCGCCCUUCGGCUUCUUGGGUGCGGGCCACCCUUCGGGCUGCUUGUCCUCGACUGUGGCCACCUGCCGGCUAGUGGAGAGCGGCACGGGGCCCUUGCGCUUGUGGUCGUUCUGGUACGAGCGUCAGCCGGAGUCCCCAGCCGGCGUCUUGUGCACCGGGUUGAUUACCUUCCCGGACGCGUCUACCCGGAGUUCAGUCUUCAUUGAGGAGUUGGCGGUGGCGUACUUGUCCGCUAUGACCAGAAGCUCGUCGAGGGUAGUCGGCUCGUCGCAGAGGAGCUUGUGCUUGAGGAGGGUGCCUUCUCGGCAUCCGGCGGUGAAGUAUUCUAUGGCUUGCACCUCGUGCACCCCUUCGCAAGAGUUGCGGAGCUCGGCCCAACGCGUGAGGUAGUCGCGGGUGGACUCGGCGGGGCCUUGUACGCACAAGGAGAGCUGUCGGGGCUUGGGGGCGCGCUUGUAGGUGCUGGUGAAGUUGCAGACGAAGGCCUCCGUGAAGUCUAGCCAGCUAUUGAUGCUGUAGGGCCUGAGGCUAUUGAGCCAGGUCCGCGCCGUGCCUUGCAGCAUGAGGGGCACGUACUUCAUGGCAACGCACCUGUUGCCGUUUGCUAUGCGAACCGCUGUGGAGUAAUCGAUCAACCAAUCUUCCGGCUUCACAAAGCCGUUGUACUUGGGCGUGUCUCUUGGGAGCGAGAACCCUUUGGGGAAAGGCUCGUCGCGGAUGCGGGGGCCGAAGCAAGGUGGGCCGACAUCGUCUUCUUCUUCUAGCGCUAGGGAUCGCGCUAGGCGGUCGAUCCGAUGGCGGGCGUCGUUCUCGCCGACUCCUUCACGGAGACCUAGUCGGCCGCUGAGAGUCGGAUGCGUGACAGGCGGCGGGGUGGGAUAUCUCUCCCCACGAGGCGGAGGCGGAGGCGGGUUGCCCCGCCGCUCCACGGCCCGGGGACGGCCUUCUGCGUCUCGCUCGAUGGAGGUCCGGGUUCGGUUUCGGCUGGCAGCCGGCUCCUUCUCGCGUCGCGCGCGGGUUUUACCCGCAGUCGGCGUCCGGGACGUCGCGCCGUGCUCUCGGCGCGGGGAAGGGCUUUCCGCGCGGGCGUCGGCUUCGUGCCACUCUGCGACUGCAUCGAUUAGUUGCUGGAUGCACCUGGUCAUGUGGGGGAGUUCUUCGGCCCCCAUUCCAUCUAGCUCGUCUACGGCCGCUUGGGCGGCGCGCAGGUUCUCGAGCGGAGUGGCAUAGACUGGGCGGUCGACCCCUAGUGUGUCGGCGAGGGUAGCGCCGCGCUGUCUGACAACGCCGGCUCAGCUUGGCCCGCCUGGGGGCGGCAUGCCAAAGGCGGCGCGGUCGGCUUCACGCUGGUGGGCCUCGGUGAGGCGUCUCAUGGAAGCCAACUUCCGGCCCUCCGCGAGGAGGGCGAGGCGGCGAGCCUCCAGUGCUUCGGCGCCGGCAUCGGCCGGGAGGGGGAUGGACAAAUCGUGGACCGCUGCAUGCGGGGCGUCGAGGGCAUUCUCACCAGAAGCGUAGCCGUGGCCGAUGACCAUCACCUCGGUGGUGGCGCCGUCGCAGCCAUCGGCCCGGGGAAGAGGGUCGUUGUAGAUCGCGACGUUGGUGGGGAAAGCGUCGAGCGAGGCCGUGUCGGAGUCGACAGGCAUCGGAUCGGUGGAGCCAACAGACUCCAAGUCCACAGCAAGCUCGCCGGAGACGUGGAGCUAGCCGAGGAGGUUGACGAGGUGGUCGGUGCCCGCGUCAGAGGUGAGCUCAUCGGAGAUGAGGGUCUUGUCAAGGAGAUCUGCGAGGCUGCUCGCUGCGCAGACGUUGGCGACGCCUUGCACCGCGUCAUGGCAAGCGCCAUCGGGCGUGCCGGGCUGGCUACGCUCGCUGGGGAGGAAGAGGGUUCCCGUCCAGAACAGGUCUCUGGACGACGGUGCACCUGGCCCCAUGGUGGGCGCCAAAUGUCGGGUGGUAGGUGCGACAUAUGCCAAUGGGUGGCUUAUCAUUGUGGGAGCCAGUAAGACGUCGCCGGUGCCUAGAAGCGGGAUGAGGGGAAGACAUGCGCGCCGGCGAAUCUUACCCAGCUUCGGGGCUCUCCGAGGAGAUAACACCCCUACUGCUGCUCUGCGGGGUCUCCGCAUGAUCACUAGAUGAACGAGUGGCUACAAGAUGCUCCUUGAGCUGUUUGGCGAGAGGAAGAAGAAGGGCACGGCUAGCUCUCCUCUCCUCUCUAUGUGGUGUCUAAUACUAGCUCAGAUCAACCCUUUGCAUGGGUGCCCCGGGGGGUUUAUAUAGGCUCACCCCCCGGGGGUAUAAUGGUAAUCCGGCUGGGCGUGGGCCCCGGCCGUCUGUGUCUAUGCUCGCCGACUUCUGCGCCGGCUGCUGGGUCCCGCCGGCUGCCGGCUCCUUGGUCGAUAGGCAGGCCCCACUGUCCAGGGCCUUGUCGGUGGCUGGUUGCUGUAGCUUCAACCUGGUGACGAGGGCUUCGCCGAGGUGGGCGUGGCUACAGUGCCGCCGCCCGGCGGGCGAUUGCUAUAGCCUCACUGCGUCUUGUCUCCUUAAUGGGGCGUUUACUUCGAGGGAGGAGGCGAGCCGGCCGUGGGGAGCCGGCCCCGUCUCGGGCCGACUGGGGGAGGCCUGGCCGCCUUCGGGUGUCUCUCUGCCUGAAGGGGCCCACCGCCCGUGGGCCACGCUGCCAGCCCGUCGUGGGUGACAUCAGGGCCAACAUGGCAACAGUGCCGCGCCGGACGGGUCAUGGCCACCCCGCAGGGCGCACUGUGUCAGGCGUGCUCCGGGAUUCGGGGGUGGCAGGCUUUACUGUAGCCACGCCCCGUCACAUCGCCGUUAUGUGGAUGCAGACUUCGAGGGUACGAUCUUGACCGCUUGGUGGGAGCCGGCCUCUUGGAGUCGGCCUUCUCGUGGCUGGCUUCUUGGAGCCGGCCCUCCCGCGGCUUUCUUCAUGAGGGCUGAAGUCGGGCCGCCUUCCGAUAGUCGGCAUGGGAGACAGCCGGCAAGGGGAAGGCGGCCCCAUGUCUUGGAUUCUUGAGGGCCGGAUCGGCUCAUAAUUUUUUCAGAAGGGACAGGGGGAGCCGGCUAGGCUACCCGUGGUCAUUUACUCUGACACGAGGUGUUCGGCAUCGGGCAGCGGGGGGACUAGGACGCCCCCGGUGCUGAGCCUCCAUCGCCCCGGCGCACGUAUGUUAAGGGGCGCCGGGUAGUUUGCCUCGUGGAGGAGGUGGGCUUCCCACUCGUGCAGAGAGCGACCGCUGAAGCCAUUAGCUGUCGCCUGGAAACCGUUCACCCAUCAGCUGGGCGUGCACGCGGUGGCUAGACGGGGAGUGAGAAAAAAAGAGGACGUCCGCGGCGAGAGAGGGGGGCUGCGGGCGGGUGCAUCCACCGACGAGGGAGNNNNNNNNNNNNNNNNNNNNNNNNNNNNNNNNNNNNNNNNNNNNNNNNNNNNNNNNNNNNNNNNNNNNNNNNNNNNNNNNNNNNNNNNNNNNNNNNNNNNNNNNNNNNNNNNNNNNNNNNNNNNNNNNNNNNNNNNNNNNNNNNNNNNNNNNNNNNNNNNNNNNNNNNNNNNNNNNNNNNNNNNNNNNNNNNNNNNNNNNNNNNNNGGGAGGGGCGCACCACGACACUGCGCCGCCCAUGAGGAAUCAAUGGAAGGCUGAACGGUGGCAGCCUUGGCACUGAUUCCCCGUGGGAAACCGGGGCGAUGAGGACGACGAGGCGCGGGGGUCACUGACUCGACGGGCCUGCUAUUAUUUUGCGCAAAAAACGAUUGCCCCAGCGCCCGCCAGCGUGCCGGGUUCGGCCUAGGUCCGCCGGCGCCAGUUUCAGGCCUAACCGGCAAAAAUUGGGCUCCUGGGGGCAUAACUGGGCCGUUUUUCAGCGCCGAUGCUAAAAAUGGCCUUGGGGGCCUGUUGGGGGCGCGGUUGGAGAUGCUCUAAGCGCAUCUGGAACAAUGACUGAUGUGGAGCAUCCUACGUCUCCUCAAAUGCCAAGUGGACCAUUGGCAUGAGCACGUCCAAGAGCUCUCCAGACCGAGGUGACAUCUCUCCUUAGUGACAUUCUGUAUGACCCACAUGAGACAUGACUACUACCUAAAUUCGGAAUACUAUAUGUGCUUAGGUACCAAGAAGACCCUCUCGGAGAUGCCCGUGAUGAUGGAUAAGUCCCCAAGUACAUGGAUGAAGGAGCAUGACGAGAGGAGCCGGAGAAAGGCCACAAUGAAGGAAAUAUGCCCUAGAGGCAAUAAUAAAGUUGUUAUUUCAUAUUUCCUUAUCCAUGAUACAUGUUUAUUAUUCAUGCUAGAAUUGUAUUGGUCGGAAACCUAAAUACAUGUGUGAAUACAUAGACAAACACGGUGUCCCUAGUGAGCCUCUACUUGACUAGCUCGUUGAUCAAAGAUGGUUAAGGUUUCCUAACCAUGGACAUGAGUUGUUAUUUGAUAACGGGAUCAUAUCAUUAGGAGAAUGAUGUGAUGGACAAGACCCAUCUAUUAGCUUAGCAUAUUGAUCGUUCAGUUUUAUUGCUAUUGCUUUCUUCAUGUCAAAUACAUAUUCCUUCGACUAUGAGAUUAUGCAACUCCCGGAUACUGGAGGAAUGCCUUGUGUGCUAUCAAACGUCACAACGUAACUAGGUGAUUAUAAAGAUGCUCUAUAGGUAUCUCUGAAGGUGUUUGUAGAGUUGGCAUAGAUCAAGAUUAGGAUUUGUCACUCCGAGCAUCGUAGAGGUAUCUCUAGGGCCUCUCGGUAAUACACAUCAUAAGAAGCCUUGCAAGAAAAGUGACUAAUGAGUUAGUUGCACGAUGAUGUAUUACGAAACGAUUAAAGAGACUUGCCGGUAACAAGAUUGAACUAGGUAAGAAGAUACCGAUGAUGAUCUCGGGCAAAUAACAUACCGAUGGACAAAGGGAAUUACAUAUGUUGUCAUAACGGUUAGACCGAUAAAGAUCUUUGUAGAAUAUGUAGGAGCCAAUAUGAGCAUCUAGGUUUCGCUAUUGGUUAUUGACCGGAGAGGUGUCUCGGUCAUGUCUACAUAGUUCUCGAAUCCGUAGGGUCCGCACGCUUAACGUUCAUUGACGAUACAAUGUUAAAUGAGUUAUAUGAUUUGGUGACCGAAUGUUGUUUAGAGUCCCAGAUAUGAUCAUAGACAUGACGAGGAGUCUCAAAAUGGUCGAGAGGUAAAGAUUGAUAUAUAUGAUGAUAGUAUUCGGACACCGGAAGUGUUCCAGAGUAUAUAGGGUAUUUAUCGGAGUACCGAAGGGGUUACCGGAACCCCCGAGGGGAAUAUAUGGGCCAUAUGGGCCAUGAGAGGGGAGCACACCGGCCCACAAGGGGUGGCACGCCCCCUUAUGGCAGGAGGCCGAAUUGGGAGAAGGAAAAAGGGGGUUCGCCCCCCCUUUCCUUUCUCUCUUCCCCCUUCCCUUUCUUCUCCGGUGAAAUAAGGAAGGGGGCGCCACUUGGGGAAACCCCAAGUAGGAUUCAGAUCCUACUUGGGGCGUGCCCUGGCUGCCUCCCCUCUCCCUCCCACCUAUAUAUAUGUGGGGGGCGCCCCUAGCACACCCAAGACAAUUGCCUAGCCGUGUGCGGUGCCCCCUCCACCGUUUACUCCCACGGUCAUAUCUUCGUAGUGCUUAGGCGAAGCCAUGUGCGGAUCACUUCACCAUCACCGUCACCAUGCUGUCGUGCUGAAGGAACUCAUCUACUACCUCGACAUCUUGCUAGAUCAAGAAGGCGAGGGACGCCAUCGAGCUGAACGUGUGCAGAACUCGGAGGUGCCGUACGUUCGGUACUUGAUUGGUCGGAGCUAGAAGAAGUUCGACUACAUCAAUCGCAUUGUCAAACGCUUCCUCUUUCAGUCUACGAGGGUACGUAGACACUCUCCCCCCUCGUUGGUAUGCAUCUCCAUGGAUAGAUCAUUGCGUGUGUGUAGAAUUUUUUUCCAUGCAACGAUUCCCACAGUGGCAUCAUGAGCCAGGUCUAUGCGUAGAUGAUAUGCACGAGUAGAACACAAAGAGUUGUGGGUGGUGAUAGUCAUACUGCUUACCACCGAUGUCUUAUUUUGAUUCGGCAGUGUUGUUGGAUGAAGCGGCCCGGACCAACAUUACAUGUCCACGCACAUGAGACCAGUUCCACCGACAGACAUGCAACUAGUUUUGCAUAAAUGUGGCUGGCGGGUGUCUGUUUCUCCUACUUUAGUUGAAUCGGAUUUGACUGCAACCGGUCCUUGAAGAAGGUUAAAACAACAAACUUGACGAAACACCGUUGUGGUUUGAUGCGUAGGUAAGAAUGGUUCUUGCUAGAAGCCCGUAGCAGCCAGGUAAAACUUGCAGCAACAAAGUAGACGACAUCUAACUUGUUUUUGCAGGUCAUGUUGUGAUGUGAUAUAGAUACAUCUCCAAUGUAUCUAUAAUUUUUUAUUGUUCCAUGCUGUUAUAUUAUCAUUCCUGGAUGUUUUAUAAUCAUUUUUUGGGACUAACCUAUUAACAUAGUGCCAAGUGCCAAUUGCUAUUUUUGCAUGUUUUUUACAUCGCAGGAAAUCAAUAUCAAACGGAGUCCAAACACCGGGAAACAUUUUGGAGAUCUUUUAUGGACCAGAACACUGAGGAUGUGCCAGAGCAGCACCUGGGGGGGUGCCCCGAGGGGGGCACAACCCACCAGGGCGCGCCCAGGUGGGUUGUGCCCACCUCGGUGGCCUCCCGCACCCCCUCUUUACCCUAUAAAUUUUAGAAACCCUCGGGGUUAACCCGGAUCAGAAGUUCUGCCGCCGCAAGGCUCUGUAGCCAUCAAAAACCAAUCUAGACCCCGUUCCAGCACCCUGUCGGAGGGGGGAAUCAUCUCCGGUGGCCAUCUUCAUCAUCCCGGCGACCACCAGAUGAGGAGGGAGUAGUCCACCCUCGGGGCUGAGGGUUUGUACUAGUAGCUAUGUGUUUAAUCUCUCUCUCUCUCUCUCUCUCUCUCUCGUGUUCUUGAGAUGUCACGAUCUUGAUGUAUCGCGGGCUUUGUUAAUAUAGUAGGAUCAUAUGGUGUUUCCCCCUCUCUAUCUUGUUGUGAUGAAUUGAGUUUUUCCCUUUGAGAUUUCGUUGUUAUUGGAUUGAAUACUUUUAUGGAUUUGAGAGCACUCGAUAUAUGUCUUGCAUAUGAAUACUCGUGGUGACAAUGGGGUAUAUAUUGAUUCACUUGAUAUGUGUUUUGGUAUUCAACUUGCGGAUUCCCGCGGUGACAUUGGGGUAAUCUAUGCAUAGGGGUUGGUGCACGUUCUCGUCUUUUGUUUCUCCGAUAGAAAUCUUGGGGCACUCUUUGAGGUUCUUUGUGUUGGAUUGAGCAUUAUGAAUCUGAAAUUAUUUGGUGUUAUUUUAGUACGAACUCUUGGAUAGAUCGAUCAGAAAGAUAGCUUUGAGGUGGUUUUGUACCCUACAAACAAUUUCGUCUUAUGUUCUCCAGGAACUUCGGAGUGAUUCUUCAUUGCACGUUGAGGGACGGUUAUAUGAUCCAGUUAUAUUAGCACCGUUGAGAGAUUGCACUAGCGAAAGUACGGACCCUAGGCCUCAUUUUCAAGCAUUGCAAUACCGUUUUUGUGCACGUUUACUAUUUGCUACCUUGCUGUUUUUAUUUAUUCAGAUUAUAAAAAUAUAUUUCUAGCAUCCAUAUUACACUUUUAUCACCAUCUCUUCGCCGAACUAGUGCACCUAUACAAUUUGCCAUUGUAUUGGGUGUGUUGGGGACACAAGAGAUUUCUUGUAUUUGGUUGCAGGGUUGUUUGAGAGAGACCAUCUUCAUCCUGCACCUCUCAUGGAUUGAUAAACCUUAGGUCAUCCACUUGAGGGGAAAUUUCUACCGUCCUACAAAACUCUGCGCUUGGAGGCCCAACACGUGUCUACAAGAAUAAAGUUGCAUAGUAGACAUCAAGCUCUUUUCUGGAGCCGUUGCCGGGGAGGUGAGUGCAUGAAGGUAUAUCUUUAGACCAUGCAAUCGAAUCUUUUAGUUUCUUGUUUAUAUCACUAGUUUGGUUUAUAAAAAAAUGGAAUUGAGGUUGCAUCAUAUUAUUCAUCUUUAUAAUGUCUUUCGUGAAAAUGAUGGAAAGGAAAAUUGUGCUCAAUUGAUAUAAGAAUAAUUCAAUAGAAUGUUUGGUAUAAAAUGAUGAGCAUGAUUGCAAUGUGUUAGUAUGAAUUCUUUGAAUAUCUAUGAUGCUAAUGAUAUGCAAAGCCGUAAGCUUGGGGAUGCUAUGUUUGAUGAAGAUGAUAUUUUUACUCCCCCAAGAUUUGAUGUGCAAAUUUGUUAUAAUGAUUGCAUGCCUCCUAUUUAUGAUGAUUAUAAUGAUGAAAGUGGAUUUGGAGAGGUCAUUACUUUAUUUAGUGAUGAAUCCACCAUUUUGAAUGAGGCUUCAAUUGACUAUGAUAACAAAGUUGCUAUCUAUGAUGAUUAUGGUGAUGACAUGUAUGCUAUAAAGAAUAAUGAUAACCAUGAAACUUGUCAUCAUGAUUUUAAUUUUCACUCUCAAGGUAGUUAUUUUGUUGAGUUUGCUCCCACUACUAUCGAUGAGAAGAAAUUUGCUUAUGUGGUGAGUAAUAAGUUUUCUAUGCUUUUGUGUCAUGAAAAGAAUGCUUUAUGUGAUGGUUAUAUUGUUUAAUUUCUUCAUGAUUCUACUAAAAAUUAUUAUGAGGGGGGAACUUAUGCUUGUAGGAAUUGCAAUAAUAUCAAGUUUCCUCUCUAUGUGUGGAAAGUUUUGAAGUUAUGCUUGUUUUGCCUUUCUAUGCUAGUUGAUUCUGGUUCCCAUAAGUUGUUUGCUCAAAAAAUCCCUAUGCAUAGGAACAUAGUUAGGCUUAAAUGUGCUUGCCAUGUGUUUCAUGAUGCUCUUGUUAUAUUUCAAUUCUUAUCUUUUAUGCGAGCAUCAUUGAAAUAAUCAUGCCUAGCUAAAAGGCAUUAAAAAAAAGCGCUUGUUGGGAGACAACCCAACACUUUUACCUACUGUUUUUGUAUGUUCACAUGAUUAGGCUACUGUAGUAAUCAUGUUUUAUUGCUUUAGGUUCAAUAAAGUGCCAAGUAAGACCUUUGGGAUGGCUUACGGUGAUAGUUGAUUUGAUCUUGCUGAAAAACAGAAACUUUGGCUCUCAGAAAAAAAAAUCUCAUUUUUAACAGAAGCGUGAUAAAAUUCUGAUUCUUUUUGAAGAAGAUUAAUAGAAAAUUUUCCCAGGUUUACUAUUUUGUAAGAAAUUUUGGAGUAGUAUAAAUAUGGUUGGAGUACAGAGUACUACAGACUGUUCUGUUUUUGACAGAUUCUGUUUUCAAUGCAUAGUUUGCUUGUUUUCUAAUUUCCAUGGCUUAUAUUGCUCAAUAUAAAUUGUCGGAAUGAUAUGCUACAGUAGGCAUUGUGUGAGAACAAUUAUGAAUCUUGUCUUUGACAGUAACAAAAGUGAAAUGGUUUGCUCUUUAUCAUACUAACCUAUCUCACAAAGUUUCGUUAAGUUUUGUGUGAUUGAAGUUUUCAAGUUUUGGGUGAGAUAUCCAUAUGAGGAGAAUAAGGAGUGACAAGACCCUAAGCUUAGCGAUUCCCAAGAGACCCCCAAGUUAAUAUCCAAUGAAUAUCCGAGCAAGUAAGCUUGGGGAUGCCCAAGAAGGCAUCCCCUCUUUCGUCUCCAACAUUAUCGGUAACCUCACUUGGAGCUAUGUUUUCGCUCGUCACAUGAUAUGAGUUUUGCUUGGAGUGUAAUUUUAUUUUAUUUGUAUUUGCUUUCUGUUGUUUAGUUUAAUAUUUUGCAUCUUUAUUUUCAAUAAAAAUAUCAAGUAUAGCCUUUGCCAUGCUUAUUUUGCAAGUCUACAUGUUGCUGUUUCAAAACAGAAAGUUUAUCGAUGUUGCAAAAAUUCCCUAGAAAAGUCAGUAUGUGAUAAAAUGUUGAAACUUUUGCAAAAUAAGAUCUGAUAAAUUUUCUACAGUGUGGUAAAUUUUCAUAAUCUUUGGAGUUUAAUAAGUAUUGAUACUCUUGCAUUCUUUACAGACUGUACUGUUUUGGCAGAUUGCUGUUAUGUUUGCAUUGUUUGCAUAUGUUUUGCUUGUUUAAUGAUUCUAUUUGAGGAUAGGAGUAUUAAAUAAGCAUAGGAAUUUAGUAUGAAAUGUUGAAUAAUAAUUUUAGUGAUUUUCUAUAGUAGAGAAUGAUAAGGUUUUUGCAUUGGUUUAUACUAAUUUAUCUCACGAGUUCUUGUUGAGUUUUGUGUGGAUGAAGCUUUUGAGAUUUAGGAAAACCGUGAUAUGGGAAGAAUUAAGGAGACACAAAAGCUCAAGCUUUGGGAUGCUCAAGGAAUCCCAAGAUAAUAUUUCAAGAACACUCAAGCAUCAAAUCUUGGGGAUGCCCUGGUAGGCAUCCCACCUUUCUUCUUCAACAAUUAUCGGUUAGUAUCGGUUGAGCCUAAGUUUUUGCUUCUUCACACGAUGUGUGCUAUUCUUAGAAUGCCAUUUUAUUUUUUUUGCUUGCUGUUUUAAUAAAAUACUUAGAUUUGAAAGUUUUUAAAUAAAAUAGAGUCCUCAAAUAGUUGCCAGGGAGGCUAGGUAAGCGACAUUCACAUCCCGUCAACGAAGCUCUUUGUAUAUGGAAUUGCACUAAUGCUUUACUUAUAUCUUUUUGAGCACGGUGUGCUUUAGUAUUUUUGAAGAAAUCCUCUCUUGCUUAACUUAAAUUAAUUUGAGAGAAGGAAAUAUUAUGCUCAUGAUCUUCACUUAUAUUUGUUUGAUCUUAUCAAAAGCAACACAUGAAAAUUAGUCCCAAAGUGAUAGAUAUACAAGAAGAUAUAAUAAAAACUUUCAUGAAGAUCAUUGGACAAAAUAAACUUGAUUCCUCGUAAUAGUUUUGAGAUAUGAUGAUGUGAUAUGUGAGUCAUGUUGAUGAUUAAUUAUGCUUUAGUAAGAAUAUUGGUGUUAAGGUUUGUGAUUUCCUAUGCAAGCACGAAAGUCAAUAGUUGUGUAAUGAAACUACAUCCUACUUGUGGUGCAUUAUUCGGUGUUAAUUAUGCUCAAUGCUCGCUUAUGAGAUUAUUCGUUUCUUGGUUGGUCGCUGCUCAAUCUUUUGCUAGCCUUCACUUUGCACUAAGUAUGAUCACUACUUGUGCAUCCAAAAUCCUUUAAACAAAUUUUGCCACAUGAGUCCACUAUACCUACCUAUAUGCGGUAUUCUUUUACCGUUGGAAGCAAAUUUGUAUGUGCCAUCUCUAAUUUCAAAAUAAAUUUCUCUUUUGUGUGCUCGUACCGCUCGCGAGGCAGUGAGGGGUGGCCAAUAUUUUCCAUGCUAGAUGUGUUAUUCUCACGAUGAGUGUUUAUUCACUUGUCAUUGCACGAGAGUAAGGCAGGGAUGCCCAGUCCUGAAAUGAAAAAUGAAUUUACUUUAUGUUGUCAAAUAAUAAAUUCCUUGGAAAGUGUUGGUAUGGAGGGCACCAGUGGAUAUGGUUAGCCAUGGAAAUUGAAAGUAUGGUGGAAAAAGGAACAAACUUUAUUUUCUGUUCGGGAACCGCCUAUGAUAUAUCUAGCAUGGAAAGUGUUGGGAGCUCUAAGUCAUUUUCGUUGGUGGGAAAACUAUGCCUCUCAAAAUGUUUUUAUCUCUCAAUUUUCGCUUUGGGCUCUGGCACCUCUACAAAUCACUACUUCCCUCUAUGAAGGGCCUUUCUUUUACUUUAUGCAAUUUUUAUUUUUAAUUUGAGUGUCCAUCUUCUCUUAUAAAGAACCAACUAGGGGGCACUAUGGUCGUACUUGAGCAUUGGGUGUAGCUAAUAUGCGAGUGUGUUUCAUGAAUGGAUCAAUGAUUGAGCAUGAUGGGCUAGGGAUAGCUUAUUUUCGCGUUGAUAUUUUGAAAGACAUGGUUGCUUGUUGAUAUGCCUGAGUAUUUAAGUUAUCAUGUCAAAACUAGACUAUAGCUUCGAACAAUAUAAAAGUCAAAAUGUCCAUGCUAUAAAGAAAAGAAUAUAGAUGACAUGUUAGGCAACAUUCCACAUCAAAAAUUCUAUUUUUUAUCAUUUACCUACUCAAGGACGAGCAUGAAUUAAGCUUGGGGAUGCUGAUACGUCUCCAACGUAUCUAUAAUUUGUUAUUGUUCCAUGCUGUUAUAUUAUCAUUCUUGGAUGUUUCAUAAUCAUUUUAUAUCUUUUUUGGGACUAACCUAUUGACAUAGUGCCAAGUGCUGUUUUUGCAUGUAUUUUACAUCGCAGGAAAUCAAUAUCAAACGGACUCCAAACGCCGUGAAACUUUUUAGAGAUUUUUUGUGGACCAGAACACCCAGGAUGGGCCAGAGCAGCACCAGGGGGGGUUGCCCCGAGGGGGGCACAACCCACCAGGGCACGCCUGGGGGCUGAGGCGCGCCCAGGUGGGUUAUGCCCACCUCGGUGGCCUCCUGCACCCACUCUUUACCCUAUAAAGUCCCAAAAUUCCAGAAACCCUCGGGGUUAACCUAGAUCAUAAGUUCCACCGCCGCAAGGCUCUAUAGCCACCGAAAACCAAUCUAGACCCCAUUCCGGCACCCUGCCGCAGGGGGGAAUCAUCUCCGGUGGCCAUCUUCAUCAUCCCGGCGGCCACCACGAUGAGGAGGGAGUAGUCCACCCUCGGGCUGAGGGUUCUUACUAGUAGCUAUGUGUUUAAUCUCUCUCUCUCUCGUCUUGAGAUGUCAUGAUCUUGAUGUAUCGUGGGCUUUGUUAAUAUAGUUGGAUCAUAUGGUGUUUUCCCCUCUCUAUCUUGUUGUGAUGAAUUGAGUUUUUCCCUUUGAGAUUUCGUUGCUAUCAGAUUGAAUACUUUUAUGGAUUUGAGAGCACUUGAUAUAUGUCUUGCAUAUGAAUACUUGUGCUGACAAUGGGGUAUAUAUUGAUUCACUUGAUAUGUGUUUUGGCAUUCAACUCGCGGAUUCCCGCGGUGACAUUGGGGUAAUCUAUGCAUAGGGGUUGGUGCAUGUUCUCAUCUUCUGUUUCUCCGGUAGAAAUCUUGGGGCACUCUUUGAGGUUCUUUGUGUUGGAUUGAGCAUUAUGAAUCUGAAAUUAUUUGCUGCUAUUUUAGUAUGAACUCUUGGAUAGAUCGAUCGGAAAGAAUAGCUUUGAGGUGGUUUUGUACCCUACAAACAAUUCCGUCUUAUGUUCUCUGCUAGAUAGGAACUUUGGAGUGAUUCUUCAUUGCACGUUGAGGGACGGUUAUAUGACCCAAUUAUAUUAGCACUGUUGAGAGAUUGCACUAGCGAAAGUACGGACCCUAGGCCUCAUUUUCAAGCAUUGCAAUACUAUUUUUGUGCCCGUUUACUAUUUGCUACUUGCUGUUUUUAUUUAUUCAGAUUAUAAAAAUAUAUGUCUACCAUCCAUAUUACACUUUUAUCACCAUCUCUUCGCCGAACUAGUGCACCUAUACAAUUUUCCAUUGUAUUGGGUGUGUUGGGGACACAAGAGAUUUCUUGUAUUUGGUUGCAGGGUCGUUUGAGAGAGACCAUAUUCAUCCUACACCUCUCACGGAUUGAUAAACCUUAGGUCAUCCACUUGAGGGAAAAUUUCUACCGUCCUACAUAACUCUGCACUUGGAGGCCCAACACAUGUCUAUAAGAAUAAAGUUGCAUAGUAGACAUCAGAUAUGGUCAAGGAAUGAUGUGAUAUACGUUAUUGUAUGAGAUGAUCAUGUUUUGUAAAAUUUAUCGGCAACUGACAUGAGCCUUAUGGUUGUCUCUUUAUUGUAUGAAAUGCAAACGCCAUAUAAUUGCUUUACUUUAUCACUAUGCAUUAGCGAUAGUUGUAGAAGCAAUAGUUGGUGAGACGACCAUGACGCAAUGAUGGAGAUCAUGGUGUCGAGCCGGUGACAAAGGAGAUCAUGACGAUGCUUUGGAGAUGGAGAUCGAAAGCACAAGAUGAUGAUGGCCAUAUAAUGUCACAUAUUUUGAUUGCAUGUGAUGUUUAUCUUUUGUACAUCUUAUUUUGCUUAGUACGGCAGUGGCAUUCUAAAAUGACCCUUUAACUAAAUUUCAAGGUAAAAGUGUUCUCCCUGAGUAUGCACCAUUGCUACAGUUCGUCGUGUUGAGACACCACGUGAUGAUCGGGUGUGAUAGACUCUACGUUCACAUACAACGGGUGCAAGACAAUUUUGCACAUGUGGAAUACUUAGGUUAAACUUGACGAGCCUAGCAUGUACAAACAUGGCCUCAGAACACUGGAGACCGAAAGGUCGUAAGUGAAUCAUAUAGUAGAUAUGAUCAACAUAGAGAUGUUCACCAUUAAUGACUACUCCAUCUCACGUGAUGAUUGGACAUGGUUUAGUUGAUUUGGAUCACAUAUCAUUUAGAUGACUUGAGGGAUGUCUAUCUAAGUGGGAGUUCUUAUGUAAUUUGAUUAAUUGAACUUAAUUUAUCAUGAACUUAGUCCUGAUAGUUUUUGCAUAUCUAUGUUAUAGAUCAAUGGCCCGUGCUAUUGUUCCCCUGUAUUUUAGUGCGUUCCUAGAGAAAGCUAAGUUGAAAGAUGAUGGUAGCAACUACAUGGACUGGGUUUGUAACUUGAGGAUUAUCCUCAUUGCUGCACAAAAGAAUUAUGUCCUUCAUGCACCGCUAGGUGAAAGGCCUGCUGCAGGAGCAGAUGCUGAUGAUUUGAACGUGUGGCAAGCUCGAUCUGAUGACUGCUCGAUAGUUCAGUGUGCCAUGCUUUACGGCUUACAAUCGGGACUUCAAAGACAUUUUGAAAGUGAUGGACCAUAUGAGAUGUUUCCAGGAGUUGAAGUUAAUAUUUCAAGCAAAUGCCCAAGUUGAGAGAUAUGAAGUCUUCAACAAGUUCUAUAGCUGCAAGAUGGAGGAGAACAGUUCUGUCAGUGAACACAUACUAAAAAUGUAUGGGUAUCAUAAUCGCUUGACUCAGCUAGGAGUUAAUCUUCCAGAUGAUAGUGUUAUUGAUAGAGUUCUUCAAUCAUUGCCACCAAGCUACAAAGGCUUCAUGAUGAACUAUAAUAUGCAAGGGAUGGAGAAGACAAUUCCCGAGCUCUUUGCAAUGCUCAAAGCUGCGGAGGCAGAAAUCAAGAAGGGGCAUCAAGCAUUGAUGGUUAACAAGACCACUAGUUUUAAGAAAAAGGGCAAGGGAAAGAAAGGGAACUUCAAGAAGAAUGGCAAGCAAGUUGCCACUCCCGGGAAGAAGCCCAAAGCUGGACCCAAGCCUGAAACUGAGUGCUUCUACUGCAAAGGGACUGGUCACUGGAAGCGAAACUGCCCCAAGUAUUUGGCGGAUAAGAAGGAUGGCAAAGUCAACAAAGGUAUAUUUGAUAUACAUGUUAUAGAUGUGUACCUUACUAAUGCUCGUAGUAGCGCCGGGUAUUUGAUACUGGUUCGGUUGCUCAUAUUUGUAACUCGAAACAUGAGCUAUGGAUUAAACGAAGAUUUGCUAAGGAUGAGGUGACAAUGCGCGUGGGGAAUGGUUCCAAGGUCGAUGUGAUUGCCGUCGGCACGCUACCUUGAUAAUCCCCAAGUGUAGGGAAUCAUCGUAGCAAUUCCCAAUGGUGGAAGUGAUAAGUAUGGAGUGUCGAACCCACAAGGAGCUAAAGGUAAGAUCAAUAUUCUCUCAAGUCCUAUCUGCCUCUGAUACGACUCUACGUACACCGAACGUUUGCUUCCAACUAGCAACGAGAAAUAAACUAUGUUGUGGGUAUGAAGUGGAUAACUUUGCAUGAUAUCGGAGAGCUAAAAUAUGAAAGUAGGUGUUGUUAUCAUAAAGUUAGAAUAUAUUACUAAACAUUAUAAAUAGCGAGUGUGGAAUAAUGGUGGAUCGGUGCGGAAUUGUCCUAGGCAAUUAUUAACAAGACCGAUAGUCGUCAUUGCAAUUUCAUAUGAGGGAGAGGCAUAAGCUAACAUACUUUCUCUUCUUGGAUCAUAUGCACUUAUGAUUGGAACUCUAGCAAGCAUCCGCAACUACUAAAGAUCAUUAAGGUAAAACCCAACCAUAGCAUUAAAGCAUCAAGUCCCCUUUAUCCCAUAUGCAACAAUCCCCUUACUCGGGUUUAUGCUUCUGUCACUCACGCAACCCACUAUAAGAGAAUCAUGAACGUAUUGCAACACCCUACAACGGGAAUCCCUCACGCUUGCGCGACACGGAGGGCACAAUAGGACAACACCAAAAUAAAACAUACAACUCGUACCAAUCUAGAUCAUCAAUCAACCCAAAGACAAAAGAUAUCUACUCAAAACAUCAUAGGAUGGCAACACAUCAUUUGAUCAUAACAUGUGGCAUAAAGCACCAUGUUCAAGUAGGGAUUAUAGCGGGGUGCGGGAGAGUGGACUGCGUAAAAGAGAUGACGAUGGUGAUGAUGAUGGUGAUGUUGAUGAAGACGAUCACCGCAACGAUGAUUCCCCUCUCGAUGGCACUCCGGUGCCACCAAGAGAGAGGAGGAGAGGUUCUUCCCCUUGUGCUUCCUCCUCCAUGGCCUCCCCCCUGGAUGGGGAGAGGUUCCCCCUCUGGUCCUUGGCCUUCAUGGUGAUGAUGGCCCCUCCGAGAUCCUCCUCCAUGCCCUCUGGUGAUGAUGGCCCCUCCGGCAGGGUGCUGGAGAGGGACUAGAUUGGUUUUCGGUGGCUACGGAGGCUUCUGGCGGUGGAACUCCCGAUCUAGGUUAAUUUUCGGAGGUUUCUAUAUUUAUAGGAGAAGUCAGCGUUGAUUUCACGUCAGGGGGCCCCACAGGAAGUCCACGAGCAGGGGGCGCACCCCAGGGGGAUGGGCGCGCCCCCCACCCUCGUGGGUCCCCCAUGACCCCCCUUCAGUGGAUUUUUGUUCCAGUAUUUUUCAUAUUUUCUAGAAAAAAUCUCCGUUGAUUUUCAUCGUAUUCCGAGAACUUUUAUUUCUGCACAAAAACAACACCACGGUAGUUCUGCUAAAAACAACGUCAGUCCGGGUUAGUUCUAAUCAAAUCAUACCAAAAUCAUAUAAAAAUAUUGUAAACAUGUCAUGAAUACUUCAUAAAUUAUAGAUACGUUGGAGACGUAUCAGCAUCCCCAAGCUUAAUUCCCGCUCGUCCUCGAGUAGGUAAAUGAUAAAAGAAAUAAUUUAUGAAGUGUGAAUGCAAGCAAGUGCACAAGUUUGAUCCAUGAUAGUUCCAAUCACUUUUUCUAGCAUCAUUAUAUAUCAUAACAGUAGCUUAUUUUCAUAAAAGUUUUCAUGAUCAAGUAACAAGCUAUUCACAUGUUAAAGUAUAGAUCAUAAACUUUCUUGAAACUAACAAACUAUAUUCUUAGUCAUCAAACAAUUGCAAUUCAUCUUAUUUUCAGGAAGGGUCUAUAUCAGAGCUUUGAUUUAGCAAACUCCACAUACUCAACUAACAUUUAAUCUUUCACAAUUGCCAACACUCACACGAUAUUUAUGGGUUCAAAGUUUUAAUCGGGCACAGAGAAAGAUAGGGGCUUAUAGAUUUGCCUCCCAACCUUUUACCUCAAGGGUAAUGUCAACAAUAAUAGUUCAUGAUAACUUACAUCCAAUUGGAUAUAUAUACAUCAGGAUCUUUCCAACACAAUGUGCUUGCCAAAGGAUAAAAUGUAAAAAGGAAAGGUGAAGAUCACCAUGACUCUUGCAUAAGGGUAGAAGAUAAAAGUAAAAGAUAGGCCCUUCGCAAAGGGAAGCAGAGGUUGUCAUGCGCUUUUAUGGUUGGAUGCACAAAAUCUUAAUGUAAAAGAACGUCACUUUAUAUUGCCACGUGUGAUAUGGACCUUUAUUAUGCAGUCCAUCGCUUUUAUUUCUUCCACAUCACAAGAUCGUAUAAAGCUUAUUUUCUCCACAUUAAUAGAUCAUACAUAUUUAGAGGGCAAUUUUUAUUGCAUGCACCGAUGACAACUUACUUGAAGGAUCUUACUCAAUCCAUAGGUAGGUAUGGUGGACUCUCAUGGCAAAACUGGUUUAAGGAAUGUUUGGAAGCACAAGUAGUAUCUCUACUUGGUGCAGAGAAUUUGGCUAGCAUGAGUGGGAAAAGCAAGCUCAACAUGUUGGAUGAUCCAAGACAAUAUACUUUAUUUCGGAUAUAAGAAAACAUAACCCAUUAUGUUGUCUUCCUUGUCCGACAUCAACCAUUUAGCAUGUCAUAUUUUAAUGAGUGCUCACAAUUACAAAAGAUGUCCAAGAUAGUAUAUUUAUAUGUGAAAUCUCUCUUCCUUCAAUAUUCUUUCAUGAAUUGUUCAAGUGACCAAUUCAACGUUUGCUAACUUUCAAUAAGUUUACUACCUAUACUUAUUCUGUGUGAAGUCAUUACUCCCCAUGGUAUAAGCAUAUGAAACAUAUAUAGAUUCAGAUUUAUGAUAUUCAAUUCAUUCAACCAUUUACUCAUAGGAUAUAUGUGAAGCACAUGAGUAAAUGACAAACUACUCCAAAAAGAUAUAAGUGAAGGACAUUGAGUAGUCAAAUAAUUAACUAGCCAUGGGAGGGUUCUUUUUCAUUUAAGAUUUCAGAUCCAAUGAUUUUAUUCAAACUGCAAGUAAAAUUGAAAAUACACUCCAAGAAAAACACAUAUCAUGUGACGAAUAAAAAUAUAGCUCCGAGUAAGGUAUACCGAUAGUUUUUGAAGACGAAAGAGGGGAUGCCUUUCCGAGACAUCCCCAAGCUUAGGCGCUUGAGUCUUCCUUGAAUAUUACCUUGGGGUUCCUUGGGAAUCCCCAAUCUUAGGGUCUUUCCACUCCUUAGUCUCCUCAAAUCGAUAUCUCACCCAAAGCUUGAAAACUUCAAUCAUACAAAACUUAACGGAACUUUGUGAGAUAGGUUAGUAUGAUAAAGAGUAAACCAUUCACUUUGGUACUGUCAAAGACAAGGCUCAUAAUUGUUCUCACACAAUGCCUACUGUACCAUAUCAUCUCUACAAUUUAUAUUGAGAAAUAUAAGCCAUAGGAACUAGAAAACAAGCAAACUAUGCAGUGAGAACAGAAUCUGUCAGAAACAGAACUGUCUGUAAUGGUCUGAACACUAACCAUACUUCUGCAACUAAAACAAUUAUUAAAUAAAUUGGUGGAAGUGAGGAAUUUUCUAUUAAUCUUCUGCAAAAAGAAUCAGCACCAAAGCACUCUUCUGUAAAAAAAUGGCAGCUAAUCUCGUGAGCGCAAAGUUUCUGUUUUUUACAGCAAGAUCACAUUAACUUUCACCCAAGUCUUCCAAAGGUCUUACUUGGCACUUUAUUGAAACAAAAGCUAUAAUACAUGCUUAAUAUAGUAGCUUAUCAUGAGAACACACAAAAAUAGUAAAGGUAAAUAUUGGGUUGUCUCCCAACAAGCACUUUUAUUUAAUGCCUUUUAGCUAGGCAUGAUGAUUUCAAUGAUGCUCACAUAAAAGAUAAGAAUUGAAACAUAAAGAGAGCAUCAUGAAGAAUAUGACUAGCAUAUUUAAAUCUAACCCACUUCCUAUGCCUAGGGAUUUUGUGAGCACAUAAUUUAUAGGAACAAGAAUCAACUAGCAUAGGAAGGCAAAACAAGUAUAACUUCAAAACUUUAAGCACAUAGAGAGGAAAAUUGAUAUUAUUACAACUCCUACAAGCAUAUAUUCCUCCCUCAUAAUAAUUUUUAGUAGCAUCAUGAAUGAAUUCAACAACAUAACCAUCACAUAAAGCAUUCUUUUCAUGAUCUACAAGCAUAGAAAUUCUCUCCAAAUAAGCAAAAUUCUUCUCAUUCGGAAUAGCGGGAUCACUAGUUCCUAAAGUUGACACUCUUCCAAAUCCACUUUAGAUGAUAGUAUUAUUCAUACUCCAAAAGAUAUAAGUGAAGUUCAUGGAGCAUUCUACAAUUAAUAUAAACUAACCAAUAUCCAAGCUCAAAAUGUAUAAGUGAAGCACAUGAAGCAUUCUAUAAAUUGAUGAAGGGACAUUCUCAUACUAGCAUGGUUCUUAAAGAAAAAUAAAAACACAGAGGACACAAAUCAUGUGAACAAAACAAAAACUGAGGUAUACCGAUAUUUGUUGAAGAAGAAAGAUGGGAUGCCAACUGGGGCAUCCCCAAGCUUAGAUGCUUGAGUAUCCUCUGAAAUAUUUACUUGGGGUGCCUUGGGCAUCCCCAAUCUUGAACUCUUGCCUCUCUUUAUUCUUCUCAUAUUGAUAGCUCCUCGAUCUUCGAACACUUCAUCCACACAAAACUUUAACAAAAACUUUGUGAGACCCAUUAGUAUAAUAAAGCAAAUCACUACCUUUAGGUACUGUUUCAAACUCAUUCCAAUUUCAUAUUAUAACUAUAUCUACUGUAUUCCAACUUCUCUAUGGUUCAUACCCUCCGAUACUAGCCAUAGAUGCAUCAAAAUAAGCAAACAACACACGAAAAACAGAAUCUGUCUAAAACAAGACAGUCUGUAGUAAUAUGGAGGUUUAGUAAACUUCUAUAACUCCAAAGAUUAUGAAAUAAAUUUGAAAAUUUGAAAAUUUUGUAUAGAAGUAAUGUGCAAAAAGUUUCAUACCCAUUUGAUGUUCCAUUAAAAAAUGUAAAAUCACGCGCUACAGCCAAAGUUUCUAUUUUUGUUCUACACAUAGUAAACAAGCAAUCUAAUCAUCCUAAAACCAAAGCUUGGCACAUUAUUUUUAUAAUACAAUGGAUAUAUAUAAGUUGAUAAUUAUUUAGAGAGAAACUUCCACGAAAAAUUCUACAUUGUUUCCAUGAGCAUGAACACAAGUGCUCAAGGUCGACCCUCACUUCUUCAAUGCAUAACUUUCCAAUCACUUCUCUUUUUGAAAAACUUUUUAGGCAUGAGAGGCAAGUAUUUUUUUUGGUAUUUUCAUUAUUUUCAUUAUUUUGUAUGUUUCAACCACAACUAAACAUAAACAAAAAGGAAAAACAAAAUCUACUUAGUGAAGAAAGCAAACAAGCAUACACGAGAAUAUCAACCCCACGCUAUUGCUCCCCGGCAACGGCGCCAGAAAAGAGCUUGAUAAUCCCCAAGUGCAGGGAAUCAUUGUAGAAAUUCCCAAUGGUGGAAGUGAUAAGUAUGGACUGUCGAACCCACAAGGAGCUAAAGGUAAGAUCAAUAUUCUCUCAAGUCCUAUCUGCCACUGAUACGACUCUAUGUACACCGAACGUUUGCUUCCAACUAGCAACAAGAAAUAAAACUAUGUUGUGGGUAUGAAGUGGAUACCUUUGCAUGAUAUCGGAGAGCUAAAAUAUGAAAGCAGGUGCUGUUAUCAUAAAUUUAGAAUAUAUUACUAAAUAUUAUAAAUAGCUAGUGUGGAAUAAUGGUGGAUCGGUGUGCGGAAUUGUCCUAGGCAAUUGUUAACAAGACCGAUAGUUGUCAUUGCAAUUUCAUAUGAGGGAGAGGCAUAAGCUAACAUACUUUCUCUUCUUGGAUCAUAUGCACUUAUGAUUGGAAGUCUAGCAAGCAUCCGCAACUACUAAAGAUCAUUAAGGUAAAACCCUGAUACGUCUCUAACGUAUCUAUAAUUUUUGAUUGUUCCAUGCUAUUAUAUUAUCAACCUUGGAUGUUUUAUAUGCAUUUAUAUGCUAUUUUAUAUGAUUUUUGGGACUAACCUAUUAACCUAGAGCCCAGUGCCAGUUUCUAUUUUUUCCUUGUUUUAGAGUAUCAUAGAAAAGGAAAAUCAAACGGAGUCCAAUUGACCUGAAACUUCACGGAACUUAUUUUUGGACCAGAAGAAGCCCACGGAGUAUCGGAGUUGGACUAGGAGAGUCCCGGGCUGCCCACGAGGGUGGGGGGCACGCCCACCCCCCUUGCUCGCGCCCCCUGCCUCGUGGACAGCCCGGAGGUCCACCGACGUACUUCUUCCUCCCAUAUAUACCCAUAUACCCUAAAAACUUCGGGGAGCACAAUAGAUCGGGAGUUCCUUCACCAGAAGCCUCCGUAGCCACCGAAAACCAAUCUAGAUCCAUUCUGGCACCCUGUCGGAGGGGGAAAUCCCUCUCCGGUGGCCAUCUUCAUCAUCCCGGUGCUCUCCAUGAUGAGGAGGGAGUAGUUCUCCCUCGGGGCUGAGGGUAUGUACAAGUAGCUAUGUGUUUGAUCUCUCUCUCUCUCUCAUGUUCUUGAGGUGGUACGAUCUUGAUGUAUGGCGAGCUUGGCUAUUAUAGUUGGAUCUUAUGAUGUUUCUCCCCCUCUACUCUCUUGUAAUGGAUUGAGUUUUCCCUUUGAAGUUAUCUUAUCGGAUUGAGUCUUUAAGGAUUUGAGAACACUUGAUGUAUGUCUUGCAUGGGAUACCCGUGGUGACAAUGGGGUAUUCUAUUGAUCCACUUGAUGUAUAUUUUGGUGAUCAACUUGCGGGUUCCGCCCAUGAACCUAUGCAUAGGGGUUGGCACACAUUUUCGUCUUGACUCUCCGGUAGAAACUUUGGGGUACUCUUUGAGGUUCUAUGUGUUGGUUGAAUAGAUAAAUCUAAGACUGUGUGAUGCAUAUCGUAUAAUCAUACCCACAAAUACUUGAGGUGACAUUGGAGUAUCUAGGUGACAUUAGGGUUUUGGUUUAUUUGUGUCUUAAGGUGUUAUUCUAGUACAAACUCUAGGGCUGUUUGUGACCCUUAUAGGAAUAGCCCAACAGAUUGAUUGGAAAGAAUAACUUUGAGGUGGUUUCAUACCCUACCAUAAUCUCUUCGUUUGUUCUCCGCUAUUAGUGACUUUGGAGUGACUCUUUGUUGCAUGUUGAGGGAUAGUUAUAUGAUCCAAUUAUGUUAUUAUUGUUGAGAGAACUUGCACUAGUGAAAGUAUGAACCCUAGGCCUUGUUUCCUAGCAUUGUAAUACCGCUUGUGCUCACUUUUAUCAUUAUUUACCUUGCUGUUUUUAUAUUUUCAGAUUACAAAAACCUUUAUCUACUAUCCAUAUACCACUUGUAUCACCAUCUCUUCACUGAACUAGUGCACCUAUACAAUUUACCAUUGUAUUGUGUGUGUUGGGGACACAAGAGACUCUUUGUUAUUUGGUUGCAGGGUUGCUUGAGAGAGACCAUCUUCAUCCUACGCCUCCUACGAAUUGAUAAACCUUAGGUCAUCCACUUGAGGGAAAUUUGCUACUGUCCUACAAACCUCUGCACUUGGAGGCCCAACAACGUCUACAAGAAGAAGGUUGUCUAGUAGACAUCAAGCUCUUUUCUGGCGCCGUUGCCUGGGAGGUUAGCGCUUGAAGGUAUAUCUUUAGAUCUUGCAAUCAAAUCUUUUUGUUUCUUGUUUUAGCACUAGUUUAGUUUAUAAAAUAAAACUACAAAUAAAAAAAAUAAAAAAUAUGGAAUUGAGUUUGCCUCAUAUGUUUCGUCUUUUUAAUAUCUUUCGUGAGUAUGAUGGAAAGUAAAAUUGUGCCAAAGUGUUAGAAGAAUAAUGCAUUAAAAUGUUUGGCACUAAAUCUUUGAAUGAUGAGCAUGAUUGCAAUGUUGUUAGUAUGAACUCCUUGAAUAUGCAUAGUAUUAAUGAUGAUUGCACUAGUUAUGAUGAAAAUGUCUCCUAUAAACAUGUCAAUUUUUGUGGAGUGCAUUGGGUUUGCAAGUACACACCAAAUAGGUAAGAUAGAUAUUGCAAGAGGCAUAAGUACUUAGAAACUAAAUUGUUGCAAGAAAGGCUAGAUGUUUGUGCUGAAAGAUUCAAUAUUUAUCGCCAUCCUUGUGAACUUUGCAAUGAACAUGGUCAUUUAAAGCUCCAAUGCUAUUUGUUUCAUGAUCAAGUCAUGUACAAAAAUUGUGAUAACUUGAUUACCCUUGAGCAUCAUAAAGAGCUUAGUCUUCUUUUGGGUUAUGAAGAAAUGAAACAUAUAACUGAGGGUAUUCCAAAAUUUAAUCUCGAUAAAUUUCUUGAUUUUGAUCUAGAGGAAAUUUAUAUGUAUUGUGCGGUGAAUUGCAUUGAAAACCCUUAUAUUGCCAAUUACAUAAAGAAAAGAAAACAAAUAUAGAAUGAAGAGAAUACUAAUGAAAGGGAAGAGACUUCUUGAUAUCCUCCUAUUAUUUCUUAUGAUGAAUCAGGUAACAAGGAGAAGCCUUCUAUUCAACCAAUCUCAUUAAUAAGGAGCUCCAAUAAGAAGAUUAAACCCACACAUGAUGUGAAGAAGAAAAAGAAAAGAAGGAGAAGCAAAGGUAGAAAGGUAUCUCUCCCAAAUAAUGUUUCUCCUAUUACUCAUUGUGAUGAUGAUAAUUGCUAUACUAUCGGUGCUAUCCAUCUAUUGAUGAUGAGAGUGAUUAUGCUUAUGAUAUGAAAAGGCCCAAGCUUGGGGAUGCUAUGUUUGAUGAAGAUGAUGUUUUUGAGAAUAUAUUUGCUGAAAUUAAUGUUUUUCCCAAGCUUGGGGGUGCUACGUUUAAUGAAGAUGAUAUUUUUAGUCUCCCAAGUUUUGAUAUGCAAAUUUAUAUUGUGAUAGCAUGCCUCCUACUUAUGAUGAUUAUAUUGAUGAAAUUGGGUUUGGAAGAGUGUCAACUUUAGGAAGUAAUGAUCCCACUAUUUUGGAGGAUGUUGAAUCUUAUUAUGAUAAAUAUGAAAGUGGAUUUGGAGAGGUCAUGACUUUAUUUAGUGAUGAUUCCACUAUAUUGGAAGAGGUUUCAAUCGAUUGUGAUAAGAACAAAGUUGCUACUUAUGAUAAUUAUUGUGAUGAUACAUAUGCUAUAAAAAGUAGUGAUGAUUAUAUUUAUAAAAUUUGUCAUGAUUAUGAUUACCCUUUUUCUGAAUAUUACUCUUUUAAUGUGGAAACAAUUUAUAGUAUUCGAGUCUCUUAUGAUACUCCCACUAUUCCGAUUGAGAAGAAUUUUGCUUAUGUAGAGAGUAGUAAAUUUUCUAUGCUUGUAGAUCAUGAAAAGAAUGAUUUAGGUGCUGGUUAUAUUUUUGAAUUCAUUCAUGAUGAUACUGAAAAUUAUUAUGAGGGAGGAACAUAUGCUUGUAGGAAUUGCAAUAAUAUCAAGUUUCCUCUCUAUGUGUUUAAAGUUUUGAAGUUAUGCUUGUUUUGCCCUCCUAUGCUAGUUGAUUAUUGUUCCCAUAAGUUGUUUGCUCAGAAAAUUCCUAUGCAUAGGAAGAGGGUUAGGCUUAAAUGUGCUAGUCAUAUUCUUCAUGAUACUCUCUUUAUGUUUCAAUUCUUAUCCUUUAUGUGAGCAUCGUUGAAAUCAUCAUGCCUAGCUAGGGGCGUUAAAUGAUAGCGCUUGUUGGGAGGCAACCCAACUUUAUUUUUGUUCCUUGCUUUUUGCUCCUGUUUAUUAAUAAAUAAUUUAUAUAGCCUAUGUUUAGAUGUGGUUUUAUGCUUUUAAUUAGUGUUUGUGCCAAGUAGAACCUUUGGGAAGACUUGGGGAAAGUCUUGUUGAUCUUGCUGUAAAAAACAGAAACUUCAGCGCUCACAAGAAUUGCUGCCAUUUUUUACUGGAUAGAUUUAGUUAAUUAAUUUUGCAGAUGAUUAAUAGAUAAUUUACUCACGUCCAUAAAUUUAUUUUAGAAUUUUUGGGGUUCCAGAAGUUUGCUUUAGUUACAGAUUACUACAGACUAUUCUGUUUUUGACAGAUUCUGUUUUUCGUGUGUUGUUUGCUUAUUUUAAUGAAUCUAUGGCUAGUAAAAGAGUUUAUAAACAAUAGAGAAGUUGUAAUACAGUAGGUUUAACACCAAUAUAAAUAAAGAAUGAGUUCACAACAGUACCUAAGUGGUGAUUUAUAUUCUUAUACUAACGGAGCUUACAAGUUUUCUGUUAAGUUUUGUGUUGUGAAGUUUUCAAGUUUUGGGUAAAGAUUCGAUGGACUAUGGAAUAAGAAGUGGCAAGAGCCUAAGCUUGGGGAUGUCCAAGGCAACCCAAGGUAAUAUUAAAGGACAACCAAGAGACUAAGCUUGGGGAUGCCCCGGAAGGCAUCCCCUCUUUCGUCUUCAUUCAUCGGUAACUUUACUUGGAGCUAUAUUUUUAUUCACCACAUGAUAUGUGUUUUGCUUGGAGCAUCAAUUUAUUUUAUUUUGUUUUACUUUCUGUUUGAAUAAAGUAUCAAGAUCUGAAAUUCUUAAAUGUUAGAGAGUCUUCACAUAGUUGCAUAAUUAUUCGACUACUCAUUGAGCUUGACUUAUAUCUUUUGUAGUAGUUUGUUAUUUGCUCUAGUGCUUCACUUAUAUCUUUUUAGAGCACAGUGGUGGUUUUAUUUUAUAGAAAUAGAUGAACUCUCAUGCUUCACUUAUAUUAUUUUGAGAGUCCUAAACAACAUGGUAAUUUUCUUUGGUUAUGAAUUUAGUCCUAAUAUGAUGGGCAUCCAAGAGGGAUAUAAUAAAAACUUUCAUAUAAAGUGCAUUGAAUACUAAGAGAAGUUUGAUACUUGAUAAUUUUUUGAGAUAUGAAAAUGGUGAUAUUAGAGUCAUGGUAGUUGAGUGGUUGUGAAUUUGAGAAAUACUUGUGUUAAAGUUUGUGAUUCCCGUAGCAUGCACGUAUGGUGAACCGUUAUGUGAUGAAGUCGGAUCAUGAUUUAUUUAUUGAUUGUCUUCCUUAUGAGUGGCGGUCGGGGACGAGCGAUGGUCUUUUCCUACCAAUAUAUCCCCCUAGGAGCAUGCACGUAGUACUUUGUUUCGAUAACUAAUAGAUUUUUGCAAUAAGUAUGUGAGUUCUUUAUGACUAAUGUUGAGUCCAUGGAUUAUACGCACUCUCACCCUUGCACCAUUGCUAGCCUCUCUAGUACCGCGCAACUUUCGCUGGUACCAUAAACCCACCAUAUACCUUCCUCAAAACAGCCACCAUACCUACCUAUUAUGGCAUUUCCCUAGCCAUUUUGAGAUAUAUUGCCAUGCAACUUUCCACCGUUCCGUUAUUAUGACAUGCUUCAUCAUUGUCAUAUUGAUUUGCAUGAUCAUGUAGUUGACAUCGUAUUUGUGGCAAAGCCACCAUUCAUAAUUUUUUCAUACAUGUCACUCAUGAGUCAUUGCACAUCCCGGUACACCGCCGGAGGCAUUCAUACAGAGUCAUAUUUUGUUCUAAGAAUUGAGUUGUAAUUCUUGAGUUGAAAGUAAAUAAAAGUGUGAUGAUCAUCAUUAUUAGAGCAUUGUCCCAGUGAGGAAAGAAUGAUGGAGACUAUGAUUCCCCACAAGUCGGGGUGAGACUCCGGACGAAAAUAAAUAAAUAAAAGAGGCCAAAGAAGCCCAAAUAAAAAAAAGAGAAAAGAGGCCAUAAAAAAAGAGAAAAGGCUCAAAUAAAAAAAUAAAUAAAAAAACAUAAAAAAUGAGAGAAAAAGAGAGAAGGGGCAAUGCUACUAUCCUUUUACCACACUUGUGCUUCAAAGUAGCACCAUGAUAUUCAUGAUAGAGAGUCUCCUAUGUUGUCACUUUCAUAUACUAGUGGGAAUCUUUCAUUAUAGAACUUGGCUUGUAUAUUCCAAUGAUGGGCUUCCUCAAAAUGCACUAGGUCUUCGUGAGCAAGCGAGUUGGGUGCACACCCACUAGUUUAUUUUGUUGAGAUUUCAUACAUUUAUAGCUCUAGUGCAUCCGUUGCAUGGCAAUCCCUACUCACUCACGUUGAUAUCUAUUGAUGGGCAUCUCCAUAGACCAUUGAUACGCCUAGUUGAUGUGAGACUAUCUUCUCCUUUUUGUCUUCUCCACAACCACCAUUCUAUUCCACCUAUAGUGCUAUGUCCAUGGCUCAAGCUCAUGUAUUGCGUGAAUAUUGAAGAAGUUUGAGAACAUCAAAAGUAUGAAACAAUUGCUUGGCUUGUCAUCGGGGUUGUGCAUGAUUUAAAUAUUUUGUGUGGUGAAGAUAGAUCAUAGCCAGACUAUAUGAUUUUCUAGGCAUAGCUUUCUUUGGCCAUGUUAUUUUGAGAAGACAUGAUUACUUGGUUAGUAUGCUUGAAGUAUUAUUAUUUUUAUGUCAAUAUUAAACUUUUGUCUUGAAUCUUAUGGAUCUGAAUAUUCUUGCCACAAUAAAGAGAACUACAUGGAUAAAUAUGUUAGGUAGCAUUCCACGUCAAAAAUUCUGUUUUUAUCAUUUACCUACUCGAGGACGAGCAGGAAUUAAGCUUGGGGAUGCUGAUACGUCUCCAACGUAUCUACAAUUUUUGAUUGUUCCAUGCUAUUAUAUUAUGAACCUUGGAUGUUUUAUAUGCAUUUAUAUGCUAUUUUAUAUGAUUUUUGGGACUAACCUAUUAACCUAGAGCCCAUUGCUAGUUUCUAUUUUUUCCUUGUUUUAGAGUAUCGCAGAAAAGGAAAAUCAAACGGAGUCCAAUUGACCUGAAACUUCACGGAACUUAUUUUUUGACCAGAAGAAGCCCACGGAGUAUCAGAGUUGGACCAGGAGAGUCCCGGGCUGCCCACGAGGGUGGGGGGGCGCGCCCACCCCCCUUGCGUGCGCCCCCUGCCUCGUGGACAGCCCGGAGGUCCACCGACGUACUUCUUCCUCCCAUAUCCAUAUACCCUAAAAAUUUCGGGGAACACAAUUGUGACACUCCCAAAUUUUUUAAUUUGGUUUUCAUCAAAAACUUUGUUGGAUUUUAAAAGAGGGCAUUUAAAAUUUCUUUUCCAGAAAUCCUUCCUCUUAAAAAACUUCCUUUCCUUUGGCAAGGAUUUUCUUUUCCCUUUCAAAUUUGGUGUUGAAUUUUUGGAAGCUUUUCCUUCUGGUUGUUACCCUCUCAAACUUAUUUAUUUUCAUAAAAAAAAGAAACCCUAGGAGUUUUGGGACUUCUUUCUUUUUGAAUCCACCCAUGGUUUUACCAUGUCUCCUAUAGUAAAACUUCUCAAAACCCCUCCCUCCACCUUUGGACAAUCUAACUUCUCUAUCCCAACAAGUCCAAACAAGUUUUGUAUUUUAUUUCAAUUAUUUUAUCUCCCAAAACAUUUCUGCCAAUUAUUUUGAGCCUAAGUGAUUUUCAAAGCAAGUACCAUUUUGCCUUUGAGUUCUUGUCCCAAACCAACUUCCCUGGAUUGUGUUUAGUACCCACAACCUAGAACCAUCUUGAUCCACUCUUCUUCUUUUAAAAAAUUUCAAAUUUCACUCACUGCAAGUUUGGACCAGAUUUGCCAAAUUUGGUGAAAUUCAUAUCUACACUCCUCCAAAAAUUCCACCAAAAACCAUGCAGCCUACUAGAGCAAUGAGAAGCCACUCCACCAAAUUUCAGCUCAAGGAAAAAUCCCUAGAUGCGAAAAGCAUUCUGUCGAACACCUGAGCUGCACUGUUCUUUGCAUUUUCUGUAAAGUUCAGUAAAAUUCAGUUUUACAGUGUCGUUUUCUUCAGAGUUCAGUCACAAGCUCACAGUGCGCUUGGCUCGAUGCUCGCAGCCCCUCCCUCUUGUCCGGAGCUUCACACGCGUGCGUGGAGCCUUCCUGGCAUCGGUGGCGCGCUGGCCCGCCCUCGCCGGCGUCUUCUGCGGCGUCGGGACCUCCCGUGGCGGCCGACAGAAGGCACACCACGGCAGAACGCCGUUCAGCGCCGCCCAAGCCAUCUGGUAGCUCCGCGUGGCCGUCUCCCUUGCCAGCGCACGCGUGCAGCACCGCCGCCGUGGCCUGGCACGCGCAGGGCGCGCUCCCUGCUGCCGACGUGCCGCACGGCCGUUCCGUUGGGACAGGCCGUAAAACCCCCUGCCGUGCUGAGCUGGACCCUGGAAUGGCACCACUACUCCACCUAGGCGAUGCCCAAGCCCCUAAUCCCACUUCCCAACCACAGCGCCGCCGUAAUCACUCGCCGGACUUAUCCCGUUCGCGGCAACCGCCUCGGGCCGACUAUAUAUAGCGCCCCUAAGCUCCCUCUCGCCUCCGCACACCUCCACCACCUCACUGGACCCCGACCAGCAACUAGAAGAGCCUCGAGGGGCCCUUCUUCCUCGACUCCGGCCGCCUCGCCCCGCCUCGGCCUCCAGCUCGAUUCACUCCGGUGAGGCCACCUCCGGCACCCAAACCUCGUCCGUAGCCCUCUCUUGCACCCAGUACUCUAACCCCCACCUCAAUUUAAUCUUUGCAGCCCUCUCCGACGAGCUCCAUCCACGCCCGAACCACCGUCCGCCGGAGUUGAGACCGCCGUCGACGUGGUGCUCACCGGCGAUCAGCACCACCACCCACCAUUGCGGAAGGACACGGUGAGCACAUUGGUAACCUCCGAUCCCCCUGCCUCGCCGUGGAUCGCCGCCGGCGACCACCGCAGCUCUCGGGCGCCGACGAGCCUCGUCCCUCCCAUUUUAAAAUUUAAACAUGACAAGUGGGACCCGCUGUCAGCCUCUCUGUCCUUUCUAAACGAAGCGUUAUCUGAAAACGCCUUCUGCCAAAUGCGCUUUCCCUCUGGGCCGGCGUAUUCUCAGCCGAAGCGUUUUCUGUUUUUAUAAGCUAGCCCCUGGAAACUUUCUGUUUCAUUACAGAUGAGUCCCUGGACAAAAACCCUUAUAACUUUUAAACAGAAAGGUAUUUUUGAUUGAUUCUUUUUCUGUUCUCUUUAAAAUUUUGUCUAGUUUUUUAUCAGAUUUAUUUGAAAAAUAUUUGGAAUACUUUUUGUGCACCCCUUGGUAUUUACGAUAGCGCAUAUAUUUUCUUUAUAUCGUAGAUACCGAAGGAGGUGACGGAACCGCAAACUUCACCGAGCUAGGCUCCGACUACUCCGAACCAGGCAAGCAUGUUUGAACUUUUGAUAUGAUGAGUGUCUUGGCAUGUUUUGCAUUUAGUUAGUUUCAUGGCAUGUUGAUAAGCAUACCGAUGAGCGUUAUUUUAUGCAAUGUUGAGGUAAGUGAGUUCGAUGAUCCAUAAGUGGAUGGAUGUGAGUAUGAAUGGCCAUGUGUUGGCAUGAGGAUGGGUAAGAUGGCAGUGUUGUAGCAUGCCAGUCUUAUGCCAGGAUAUAUGACUUUGGUGACAAACCGUAUCGGUCCAGUUACUCCCAUAUCCUUCCCUGUACUACCACAUGUUUUCCGCAAGGAAUAUGGUUUAGUAAGUUGCAAACCGCUUUCCUGGUACACACCAAAAGGAGAGGCCGGGAUGAUGGUUCCAUGGCCCUGGAUUAAAGCCAGUCAUCCGGUCAGGGGGCAUGGGUGUUUCCGGUUGUGACCGAGAGGGGGGCACCCCUUAGAGCGCGCGUAUAUAAAUUUGAUCCCAUGCUAUUCGAGAUUGUGAUCUCCCCGUCUCAAAAGUUUUUCUUGGACGAUGUCUAGGGUGAGUCCUGGAAUCGAGAGGUAGGAUGGGUGUGUACUGGAUAGCUGUGUUUUCUUCCGAAAAACCGUAAACGGAACUAGUCCUUCGUGACUACGGAAAUCCGUUGAUUGUGGGAAAAAUUUUGUACAAACUCUGCAGAGUCAUACAUUCCUUUGAAUCAUCUAUUCCAUAUCCAAAUUCGUAUUAUCUUGUCCUAACAGUGCCAGUUUGAUGACAGAGACUCCGGUGAAUCCCUUGAGUGCUAAGUCCGGCUAAAUGAUAUUCCUGUUGAUGGACUAACCUGGUUAUUAUCAUGAAUUGAAUAUUUAUUAUGAGUAUUAUUUACCUGUGAAUAAAGCCCUUUCUGCGAUGUCGCUCAGACGUUCGACUGUGGCAUUUCUUUUAAAGCCCUUUCUGCGAUGUCGCUCAGACGUCUGACUGUGGCAUUUCUUUUAAAGCCCUUUCUGCGAUGUCGCUUAGACGUCCGACUGUGGCAUUUCUUUUAAAGCCCUUUAUGUGGUGUCACUAAGACGCCCGACUGUGGCAUUUCUUUUAAAGCCCUUUCUGCGAUGUCGCUCAGACGUCCGACUGUGGCAUUUCUGUUAUAGCCCUUUAUGUGGUGUCGCUAAGACGCCCGACUGUGGCAUCAUUUUCUUUCUUUUACAUGUUUCACCUUUCGAGACGUUGCUUUAGACAUCCAUUUAUAUUUUGUUGGGAUUUCUGGCGGACUACCGCCGUUUCCCUUUUACUUAUUUCGUUAUGCUAAUUUAUGAAUGUGCAUUGGUAAAUUAAUCGUGACGCAUUCAUGCAUGCAUUUGUUAUAUCUUACGUCCGAACUGUCUUGCGAGUACUUUCAAAGUACUCACUGGCUUGUUGAUUUGGCCAGAUGCUGACGAAGGCGAUCUCAUGGAUGAAGAAUUUGAUAGCGAGUCCGACGCCCAGAGGAGUCCCAGUCAGUCUCGUGCGACCCUGGAUUUGGUCACUGUAUUAUAUCCGCUCCCGCUACCAAAUAAAUUCACCGAGCCUCACCUCGACGCUCGAUGAGAUGACAGUUUUAGAGUCUUGUAUCUCUCUCCCCGCUGUGUUUUUCCACCACCGCCCUAUCCUCGAGUCAGUAGUAUGCCUCCACACCACUGUGUCAUGUCCGCCAUUAUGUAUAAUUAUUGGCGUGCUUGUAAUAAUUUGGUUGAGCAACCGUAGCUCGACCCUGUAAUAUAUUUUAUGCUACUGGCUUAUUGUAUCAAGAAUUUGUCUACCGGUAAGGAGAAUUUUUCUCAUACUGGACUCAAAAGAUUGGUUUCUCAAUAAAUAUUUUUAUUGGAAAACCGGUCGUGACAAGCUUGGUACCAGAGCCAGGCUGACUGUAGGAAGCCACUAGGUGCGAUCGCUAAUUGGUUAUUAGCAUGAUAGAGCUAAUUUAUAUUUUUGCAAUUGUAGUCAUUUUCUGACUGUCAGCAUGAAUUUAUGAUCUGACCAUUCAGAAUUUUUGCUUACCUUUGUAGAUGGCCAACAAUAGCUGCGAGUCUCAGACCUUCGCCAACGUGCCCGAUGGGUUCGUGAAGCUUCUCUCCUUCAUCGUUCAGGUCGCGAUGGGGCCGUCUGUGCGCCCAGUCUUCACACUCUACCAGCACAAGGUCAACGACAGUCUGACCAUGCACCAGGCCACGGUGCAGUUCAGGGGAGGGCGUGGUGAGUUACGCCGCUUCCGGUUCGUGGGAAGAGCCAUGCCUACGGAGAGGCAUGCUAUGCAGAUGGCAGCCCGUGAGGCGAUAGCUCGCCUCAGGGAUGUCCUUCCCGCGAUGAAGACUCGUCGUUACCGCUAUCUUCCAUGCCAUGUGCCUUACACCUGUCACUACGCAUUCUCCUGCCCCAGAGGAGAACGAGAUGAGGCUUUUGAGAUGCUUAUUGAGUAUCUCCGGGCUCUGGAGGCAGCCUUCGACAACCUGGUGGACGACUUCGUAGCUGCCCGCAUGGACUCAGUCCAUGGCUGUGCCGCCAACAGGAGGGAGCUCCUACCCGCCGCACCGCCACUGACUUUUGUCUCGUCAUCAGCAUCUUAUGCACCUACUCGUCGCCUGCCUACCACCGAAGAGUUCAACCAGGCCAUUGCGCCCACUCCAGCGCGCACUGCACCACCCGUUGUGCCUACUCCUAUUCGUGUUGUUCCACCCCUGACAACCGCUCCAUCCACUCAGCGCAACACUACACGUAUGGAGCCUAUUAGCGAGGAGGAAGUCGAGUCUCCAGCCUCGCUACGCCUCACCCUCGGCAGGGCAAAGGAGGUCGUCAACAUCUCCGCCUGAGUACGCUUAGCCGCCAUGCGAUGUACUGCUUUGUAUGAUAUGUUUAUAUGUACAUAGGUUGUGAGAAGUAGCCUGUUUGCACAUCAUGUAGGAACUGGAGAAGUGCACUAGCCUAAAUAACAUGUCAGGAUUAUGUACGCAUAUCCUGAGUGAUGUAUUGUAUAAUUAUCGCCCGCGUGUAAGAUAUGUAAUGAGCAGUCCUUCUCCGUGCGCAAUUAGAUUUGUUUUCUUAAGUGAUCUUGGUCAUUUAAAUUAUUUGCCAUCCUUGUGCGAUUUUCUUGAUUUUGUUUUACGACCAUUUUCGCUUUUCUUAUGAGUUUUACAAAAUAUAUCCCCAGAGUGAAAAAUGUCUCGUCCUUGGACUCGUUCCAUGCCAACCCCACCAGAGGAAAAUUAUGAUACACAACCCAGCAACAAUUUCGCGCAAGGACAGUCAAGCCAACAGGGAAAUGAAUCGGCACUUUCACAAAUGUGCCGCCUUUAUGAGCAGAGUCAGCAACAACAUCGGGAAAUGAUGAACCAAGUCAUCAACAUGGGAAAUCACCAUGGACAGUAUCAGCAACAUUCCAAGUUAUCUGAGCUACAGAAGACACGCCCCCAAACAUUUUCUCAUACUGACAAACCUCUUGAGGCCGAGGAUUGGCUUCGAGAUAUGGAGAGAAAAUUAAUUAUUGCAAAAUGUUCAGAUCUCGAGAAAGUAUUAUAUGCUCCGCACUAUCUCACAGGAGCAGCUGCAUCAUGGUGGGAGAAUUUUUUGCACAUGCACCCCAACGAAAAUGAUAUAACCUGGGAUGAUUUCAAGGAAGGUUUCCGUGGUGCACACAUUCCCAAGAGUAUUAUGAAAAUCAAGAAAAGAGAGUUCGAAGAUCUCAAACAAAGGAACGUGACAGUGUCAGAAUACCACAAUCAAUUUAAUCUAUUGUCCCGCUACGCCAAUGAAGAGCGUAUGACUGAAAUCAAGAAGAUGGAGAAAUUCCUUGACGGUCUGGCGCCCGCGCUUAAAUGCCAACUGGUCGUGCACACUUUUCCUGAUUUUAAAACACUGGUGGACAAAGCCAUUACUCUGGAAAAUGAGAGACGCAGUCUGGAAGAUAUCCGCAAGCGAAAAAGGGACCAGACUAACCAUGCUCGCAAUCACCGAAGCAAGACAGAUUUUCAAAAGGGUAGGACACACAAAUCCUCAUCCAAUGUCUCACGCCCAAUCAAGAAUUUUCAUGCAAGGGACAAAGAGUUCACAUAUCGCCCAGGCGUUACUUGCUACGCUUGUGGAGAAGAAGGGCACUACGCCAAACAAUGCCCCAAGCCAAGGAACUCGACCCCGAAGCCAAACAAUGGUGGAAAUAAUUCAGCACCCAAGCGCAACAAUUUCAACCCCAACAACAACCACAGGAAGGGUCAUCUAAACCACGUGACCAAAGAAGAAGCACAAAACGCUCCGGAUAUCGUACUCGGUACGUUUCCUAUCAACACAAUACCUGCAACGGUAUUGUUUGAUUCUGGAGCUUCUACUCAUUCAUUUCGAAAAGUUUUGCUUUGCAAAAUAAUUUUUCGAUGUUUCCCUUGGAAAAAUCCAUGAUCAUCAAGUCCCCUAGGAUUCAGCAAGUUACUCAGAGUUACUGUCAGAAUGUGGUUAUUGAGAUCGAAGGAUUGAAAUUUUUCGCCAAUCUUAUUGUGUUGGAAAAUAAGGGACUGGAUGUCAUCCUAGGGAUGGACUGGUUAACCACCAACAAUGGUUUUAUUGACUGUUUCAACCGAACCGUAAUUCUCACGCACCACCACGGGAAGACAAUAAAAGUAUCAUCCAAGGAAAGAAAAAUACCCCGGCAGCCGAGAUUGAAUAAGGUGGACAUUUCUGAGUUAAGCAAGGUUCCAGUGGUAUGUGAAUUUCCAGAUGUAUUUCCCGAAGAACUACCAGGCAUGCCACCAGACCGGGAAAUAGAAUUCAGCAUUGAGCUAGCACCAGGAGCCACCCCCAUAUACAAGAAACCCUACAGAAUGGCACCAUCCGAAUUGAUAGAGUUGAAGAAACAAAUAAAGGAAUUACUGGACAAGGGAUACAUUCGAUCCAGCUCCUCACCUUGGGGAUCACCAAUUUUAUUUGCCAAAAAGAAAGAUGGAACACUAAGAUUGUGCAUAGACUACCGAGCACUCAACAUGGUCACAGUCAAGAACAAAUACCCGAUGCCUCGAAUAAAUGAUUUAUUUGAUCAGCUCGCUCAGGCCAAGGUAUUCUCAAAGAUUGACUUAAGGUCAGGAUACCAUCAAUUAAAGGUGCGAACAGAAGAUAUCCCCAAAACAGCCUUCACCUCCAGAUAUGGACUAUAUGAGUUCACAGUUAUGCCUUUUGGACUAACUAAUGCCCCUGCAUAUUUUGUUCACCUCAUGAACAAAGUAUUUAUGAAGUAUAUGGACAAGUUCGUUGUGGUAUUCAUCGACGAUAUUCUAGUAUACUCCAAGACACCAGAAGAGCACGCGGAACAUCUCAGGAUUGUGCUAGGAGAACUCAGAAAACACCAAUUGUAUGCCAAGUUCAGCAAGUGCGAAUUUUGGCUAAGACAAGUAGGCUUUCUAGGCCACGUACUGACCCAAGACGGUAUCGCAGUGGACCCGGAGAAAGUUAGGGCCAUACUUGACUGGAAGGCACCAGCCAGCGUAACCGACGUAUGAAGUUUCUUGGGAAUGGCAGGAUAUUACCGCAGGUUUAUUGAAGGAUUCUCCACCCUAGCCAAACCAAUGACGCAGUUACUCAAGAAAGAUAAGAAGUUUGAAUGGACAGAAGCCUGCGAGAAAAGUUUCCAAGAGCUAAAGCGGAAAUUAACGACAACACCGGUACUAAUUGUACCCGACAUACACAAGAAUUUUGAAGUAUGUUGUGACGCGUCCAAAAAGGGUCUUGGAUGCGUGUUGAUGCAGGAAGGCAAGGUUGUCGCCUACGCUUCAAGGCAACUUCGCAAGCAUGAGGAAAAUUAUCCCACUCAUGACUUAGAAAUGGCUGCAGUUAUUCAUGCACUCAAGGAAUGGAGGCAUUUCUUACUUGGGAAUCGAUGUGAAAUAUUUACGGAUCACAAAAGUCUCAAAUAUAUUUUCACACAGCCAGAACUAAACUUACGGCAACGACGUUGGUUGGAAUUGGUAAAGGAUUAUGAUGUUGGUAUCCAUUACCAUCCAGGAAAAGCAAAUGUAGUAGCCGAUGCUCUUAGUCGGAACCCCAACUUCGACGAAAACAAUCUGCACAGCUUGAGGCCCGAAUUCCAACAAGAAUUUGCCAAGCUCAACUUGAUGAUGGUAGCAGAAGGCACCAUAUCAAACUUGGUAAUACAACCCAACCUUGUGGAGGAAAUUAAAGGAGCUCAGCCCGGUCACCCCAGCAUCGAAGGCAUCAAAAGAAAGGUGAGUAUGGGCAAGGCCUCAGAAUUCGUCAUAGACAGUGAAGGGAUAUUAUGGUAUGGAGAAAGACUUUGCGCACCAAGCAUAGAAGACCUUAAACAGCAAAUUUUAGCUGAAGCCCACACCGCCCCUUACUCGAUCCACCCUGGAGGAACCAAAAUGUAUAAAGAUAUUCAAGAAAGAUUUUGGUGGCACGGUAUGAAGAGGGACAUAGCCACCUUCAUUGCAUGUUGCGACUCAUGUCAACGCAUAAAAGCUGAGCAUCAGAGACUAGCCGGACUACUGCAACCGAACAAAAUACCUGAGUGGAAAUGGGAUGAAAUAGGGAUGGAUUUCAUUGUCGGACUACCUCAGUCACGACACGGGAAUGAUGCCAUAUGGGUCAUCACUGACAGGUUAACCAAAGUGGCACACUUUAUUCCAAUAAAGACGACCCACAACACUCAGAGGCUUGCCAGGAUUUAUCUUUCCCGCAUAGUUUGUCUGCACAUUGUCCCGAAGACUAUAAUAUCCGACAGAGGCACUCAGUUCGUCUCAAGAUUUUGGGAGCAUUUACAACAGGCUCUGGGAACCCAACUAGCCUUCAGUACCGCAUACCACCCACAGACUGAUGGACAAACAAAACGUGUAAACCAGGUUUUAGAAGACAUGUUGAGAGCAUGUGUCCUCACAUAUGGAACCAGUUGGGAAGAAAGCCUGCCAUACGCCGAGUUCGCGUACAACAAUAGCUACCAGGCCAGCCUACAAAUGGCACCAUUUGAGGCUUUAUACGGACGAAGAUGUCGUACCCCGUUAAAUUGGUCAGAGACCGGAGACAGCCGCAUCUUCGAACCAGACAUGCUCAGAGAAGCCGAGGAAAAGGUCAAGCUAAUCAGAGACCAACUUAAGACCGCUCAAAGUCGACAGAAGAGUUAUUAUGAUCAGAAACAUCGUAGGGUCAGCUUCGAACCCGGUGAGUUCGUAUACCUGAGAGUAUCCCCUAUGAGAGGAUUGCAACGAUUCAAGAUUAAAGGGAAGCUAGCACCAAGAUUCAUUGGACCAUUCUACAUAGUGGCACGAAGAGGCACUGUAGCCUACCAGCUAGACUUACCCAAAGACUUGUCCGACAUUCACAACGUAUUCCACGUCUCUCAAUUGAGGAAGUGCGUAAGCAAACCAGAGAAGCAAGUAUCCCAUGAGAACAUCGACGUGCAGCCAGACCUCACUUAUCGGGAACGCCCAGUAAAAAUAUUAGAGGAGUCUGAAAGGAGGACCCGACAGAAAACCAUCAAGUUUUUACGAGUUCAGUGGAGCAAUCACACCGAAAGUGAAGCAACAUGGGAAAGAGAGGAUUUUCUUCGGACAGAGCAUCCACACUUAUUUAUGGAUCAGCUGAAAUCUCGGGGACGAGAUUUUUCCUAAGGGGGUAGGUGCUGUGACACUCCCAAAAUUUUUAAUUUGGUUUUCAUCAAAAACUUUGUUGGAUUUUAAAAGAGGGCAUUUAAAAUUUCUUUUCCAGAAAUCCUUCCUCUUAAAAAACUUCCUUUCCUUUGGCAAGGAUUUUCUUUUCCCUUUCAAAUUUGGUGUUGAAUUUUUGGAAGCUUUUCCUUCUGGUUGUUACCCUCUCAAACUUAUUUAUUUUCAUAAAAAAAAGAAACCCUAGGAGUUUUGGGACUUCUUUCUUUUUGAAUCCACCCAUGGUUUUACCAUGUCUCCUAUAGUAAAACUUCUCAAAACCCCUCCCUCCACCUUUGGACAAUCUAACUUCUCUAUCCCAAAAAGUCCAAACAAGUUUUGUAUUUUAUUUCAAUUAUUUUAUCUCCCAAAACAUUUCUGCCAAUUAUUUUGAGCCUAAGUGAUUUUCAAAGCAAGUACCAUUUUUCCUUUGAGUUCUUGUCCCAAACCAACUUCCCUGGAUUGUCUUUAGUACCCACAACCUAGAACCAUCUUGAUCCACUCUUCUUCUUUUCAAAAAUUUCAAAUUUCACUCACUGCAAGUUUGGACCAGAUUUGCCAAAUUUGGUGAAAUUCAUAUCUACACUCCUCCAAAAAUUCCACCAAAAAUCAUGCAGCCUACUAGAGCAAUGAGAAGCCACUCCACCAAAUUUCAGCUCAAGGAAAAAUCCCUAGAUGCCAAAAGCAUUCUGUCGAACACCUGAGCUGCACUGUUCUUUGCAUUUUCAGUAAAGUUCAGUAAAAUUCAGUUUUACAGUGUCGUUUUCUUCAGAGUUCAGUCACAAGCUCACAGUGCGCUUGGCUCGAUGCUCGCAGCCCCUCCCUCUUGUCCGGAGCUUCACACGCGUGCGUGGAGCCUUCCUGGCGUCGGUGGCGCGCUGGCCUACCCUCACCGGCGUCUUCUGCGGCGUCGGGACCUCCCGUGGCGGCCGACAGAAGGCACACCACGGCAGAACGCUGUUCAACACCGCCCAAGCCAUCUGGUAGCUCCGCGUGGCCGUCACCCUUGCCAGCGCACGCAUGCAGCACCGCCGCCAUGGCCUGGCACGCGCAGGGCGCGCUCCCUGCCGCCGACGUGCCGCAUGGCCGUUCCGUUGGGACAGGCUGUAAAACCCCCUCCCGUGCUGAGCUGGACCCUGGAAUGGCACCACUACUCCACCUAGGCAAUGCCCAAGCCCCUAAUCCCACUGCCCAACCACAGCGCCGCCGUAAUCACUCGCCGGACUUAUCCCGUUCGCGGCAACCGCCUCGGGCCGACUAUAUAUAGCGCCCCUAAGCUCCCUCUCGCCUCCGCACACCUCCACCACCUCACUGGACCCCGACCAGCAACUAGAAGAGCCUCGAGGGGCCCUUCUUCCUCCACUCCGGCCGCCUCACCCCGCCUCGGCCUCCAGCUCGAUUCACUCCGGUGAGGCCACCUCCAGCACCCAAACCUCGUCCGUAGCCCUCUCUUGCACCCAGUACUCUAACCCCCACCUCAAUUUAAUCUUUGCAGCCCUCUCCGACGAGCUCCAUCCACGCCCGAACCACCGUCCGCCGGAGUUGAGACCGCCGUCGACGUGGUGCUCACCGGCGAUCAGCACCACCACCCACCGUUGCGGAAGGACACGGUGAGCACAUUGGUAACCUCCGAUCCCCCUGCCUCGCCGUGGAUCGCCGUCGACGACCACCGCAGCUCUCGGGCGCCGACGAGCCUCGUCCCUCCCAUUUUAAAAUUUAAACAUGACAAGUGGGACCCGCUGUCAGCCUCUCUGUCCUUUCUAAACGAAGCAUUAUCUGAAAACGCCUUCUGCCAAAUGCGCUUUCCCUCUGGGCCGGCGUAUUCUCAGCCGAAGCGUUUUCUGUUUUUAUAAGCUAGCCCCUGGAAACUAUCUGUUUCAUUAUAGAUGAGUCCCUGGACAAAAACCCUUAUAACUUUUAAACAGAAAGGUAUUUUUGAUUUAUUCUUUUUCUGUUCUCUUUAAAAUUUUGUCUAGUUUUUUAUCAGAUUUAUUUAAAAAAUAUUUGGAAUACUUUUUGUGCACCCCUUGGUAUUUACGAUAGCGCAUAUAUUUUCUUUAUAUCGUAGAUACCGAAGGAGGUGAUGGAACCGCAAACUUCACCGAGCUAGGCUCCGACUACUCCGAACCAGGCAAGCAUGUUUGAACUUUUGAUAUGAUGAGUGUCUUGGCAUGUUUUGCAUUUAGUUAGUUUCAUGGCAUGUUGAUAAGCAUACCGAUGAGCGUUAUUUUAUGCAAUGUUGAGGUAAGUGAGUUCAAUGAUCCAUAAGUGGAUGGAUGUGAGUAUGAAUGGCCAUGUGUUGGCAUGAGGAUGGGUAAGAUGGCAGUGUUGUAGCAUGUCAGUCUUAUGCCAGGAUAUAUGACUUCGGUGACAAACCGUAUCAGUCCAGUUACUCCCAUAUCCUUCCCUGUACUACCACAUGUUUUCCGCAAGGAAUAUGGUUUAGUAAGUUGCAAACCGCUUUCCUGGUACACACCAAAAGGAGAGGCCGGGAUGAUGGUUCCAUGGCCCUGGAUUAAAGCCAGUCAUCCGGUCAGGGGGCAUGGGUGUUUCCGGUUGGGACCGAGAGGGGGGCACCCCUUAGAGCGCGCGUAUAUAAAUUUGAUCCCAUGAUAUUCGAGAUUGUGAUCUCCCCAUCUCAAAAGUUUUUCUGGGACGAUGUCUAGGGUGAGUCCUGGCAUCGAGAGGUAGGAUGGGUGUGUACUGGAUAGCCGUGUUUUCUUCCGAAAAACCGUAAACGGAACUAGUCCUUCGUGACUACGGAAAUCCGUUGACUGUGGGAAAAAAUUUGUACAAACUCUGCAGAGUCAUACAUUCCUUUGAAUCAUCUAUUCCAUAUCCAAAUUCGUAUUAUCUUGUCCUAACAGUGCCAGUUUGAUGACAGAGACUCCGGUGAAUCCCUUGAGUGCUAAGUCCGGCUAAAUGAUAUUCCUGUUGAUGGACUAACCUGGUUAUUAUCAUGAAUUGAAUAUUUAUUAUGAGUAUUAUUUACCUGUGAAUAAAGCCCUUUCUGCGAUGUCGCUCAGACGUUCGACUGUGGCAUUUCUUUUAAAGCCCUUUCUGCGAUGUCGCUCAGACGUCCGACUGUGGCAUUUGUUUUAAAGCCCUUUCUGCGAUGUCGCUCAGACGUCCGACUGUGACAUUUAUUUUAAAGCCCUUUAUGUGGUGUCGCUAAGACGCCCGACUGUGGCAUUUCUUUUAAAGCCCUUUCUGCGAUGUCGCUCAGACGUCCGACUGUGGCAUUUUUUUUAAAGCCCUUUAUGUGGUGUCGCUAAGACGCCCGACUGUGGCAUCAUUUUCUUUCUUUUACAUGUUUCACCUUUCGAGACGUUGCUUCAGACACCCGAUCGGUUUCCAUUUAUAUUUUGUUGGGAUUUCUGGCGGACUACCGCCGUUUCCCUUUUACUUAUUUCGUUAUGCUAAUUUAUGAAUGUGCAUUGGUAAAUUAAUCGUGACGCAUUCAUGCAUGCAUUUGUUAUAUCUUAUGUCCGAACUGUCUUGCGAGUACUUUCAAAGUACUCACUGUCUUGUUGAUUUGGCCAGAUGCUGACAAAGGCGAUCUCAUGGAUGAAUAAUUUGAUAGCGAGUCCGACGCCUAGAGGAGUCCCAGUCAGUCUCGUGCGACCCUGGAUUUGGUCACUGUAUUAUAUCCGCUCCCGCUACCAAAUAAAUUCACCGAGCCUCACCUCGACGCUCGAUGAGAUGACAGUUUUAGAGUCUUGUAUCUCUCUCCCCGCUGUGUUUUUCCACCACCGCCCUAUCCUCGAGUCAGUAGUAUGCCUCCACACCACUGUGUCAUGUCCGCCAUUACGUAUAAUUAUUGGCGUGCUUGUAAUAAUUUGGUUGAGCAACCGUAGCUCGACCCUGUAAUAUAUUUUAUGCUACUGGCUUAUUGUAUCAAGAAUUUGUCUACCGGUAAGGAGAAUUUUUCUCAUACUGGACUCAAAAGAUUGGUUUCUCAAUAAAUAUUUUUAUUGGAAAACCGGUCGUGACAACAAUAGAUCGGAGUUCCACCGCCAGAAGCCUCCGUAGCCACCGAAAACCAAUCUAGACCCGUUCCGGCACCCUGCCGAAGGGGGAAAUCCCUCUUUGGUGGCCAUCUUCAUCAUCCUGGUGCUCUCCAUGACGAGGAGGGAGUAGUUCUCCCUCGGGGCUAAGGGUAUGUACCGGUAUCUAUGUGUUUGAUCUCUAUCUCUCUCUCUCUCUCUCUCUCUCUCGUGUUCUUGAGGUGGUACGAUCUUGAUGUAUCGCGAGCUUUGGUAUUAUAGUUGGAUCUUAUGAUGUUUCUCCCCCUGUACUCUCUUGUAAUGGAUUGAGUUUUCUCUUUGAAGUUAUCUUAUCGGAUUGAGUCUUUAAGGAUUUGAGAACACUUGAUGUAUGUCUUGCGUGGGAUACCCGUGGUGACAAUGGGGUAUUCUAUUGAUCCACUUGAUGUAUGUUUUGGUGAUCAACUUGCGGGUUCCGCCCAUGAACCUAUGCAUAGGGGUUGGCACACAUUUUCGUCUUGACUCUCCGGUAGAAACUUUGGGGCACUCUUUGAGGUUCUAUGUGUUGGCUGAAUAGAUGAAUCUGAGAUUGUGUAAUGCAUAUCGUAUAAUCAUACCCACGGAUACUUGAGGUGACAUUGGAGUAUCUAGGUGACAUUAGGGUUUUGGUUGAUUUGUGUCAUAAGGUGUUAUUCUAGUACGAACUUUAGGGCUGUUUGUGACCCUUAUAGGAAUAGCCCAACGAUUGAUUGGAAAGAAUAACUUUGAGGUGGUUUUGUACCCUACCAUAAUCUCUUCGUUUGUUCUCUGCUAUUAGUGACUUUGGAGUGAAUCUUUGUUGCAUGUUGAGGGAUAGUUAUAUGAUCCAAUUAUUUUAUUAUUGUUGAGAGAACUUGCACUAGUGAAAGUAUGAACCCUAGGCCUUGUUUCCUAGCAUUGCAAUACCGUUUGUGCUCACUUUUAUCAUUAGUUAGCUUGCUGUUUUUAUAUUUUCAGAUUACAAAAACCUUUAUCUACUAUCUAUAUACCACUUGUAUCACCAUCUCUUCGCCGAACUAGUGCACCUAUACAAUUUACCAUUGUAUUGGGUGUGUUGGGGACACAAGAGACUCUUUGUUAUUUGGCUGCAGGGUUGCUUGAGAGAGACCAUCUUCAUCCUACGCCUCCUACGGAUUGAUAAACCUUAGGUCAUCCACUUGAGGGAAAUUUGCUACUGUCCUACAAACCUCUGCACUUGGAGGCCCAACAACGUCUACAAGAAGAAGGUUGUGUAGUAGACAUCAAACCCAACCAUAGAAAUUAAGCAUCAAGUCCCCUUUAUCCCAUAUGCAACAACCUCCUUACUCGGGUUUAUGCUUCUGUCACUCACGCAACCACUAUAAGUGAAUCAUGAAUGUAUUGCAACACCCUACAUCGGGAAUCCCUCAUGCUUGCGCGACACGGAGGGCACAACAGGACAACACCUAAAUAAAACAUACAACUCAUACCAAUCUAGAUCAUCAAUCAACCCAAAGACAAAAGAUAUCUACUCAAAACAUCAUAGGAUGGCAACACAUCAUUGGAUCAUAAUGUGUGGCAUAAGGCACCAUGUUCAAGUCGGGAUUGCAGCGGGGUGCGGGAGAGUGGACCACAUAAAAGAGAUGAGGAUGGUGGUGUUGAGGAAUACGAUCACCGCGGCGAUGAUUCCCCUCUCGAUGGCACUCUAGUGCCACCAAGAGAGAGGAGGAGAGGUUCUCCCCCUUGUGCUUCCUCCUCCAUGGCCUCCCCCCUGGAUGGGGAGAGGUUCCCCCUCUGGUCCUUGGCCUUCAUGGUGAUGAUGGACCCUCCGGGAUCCUCCUCCAUGCCCUCCGGUGAUGAUGGCCCCUGUCGGCAUUCUGGGAACGGGGGUCCCCAGACUUGCCUGCCUUCGGCCUGCGGCAUGGCUCAAGUGGGGGCCCAGCGCUGCCCAUCUUCAUCAUCUCAAGCUCAAGACCCUCGCGAGGGGCCAAGCCUCGCGGGGCGGAUGACAGAAAGCUUCCUCAGAAGCAGCCUCAUCAGGCAGGCUCACAAGGAGGCGGAGAGAUCAAGGCAGGGGUACCUCGCGAGGAGCCCGUGACGCAAGCCAUGACGAUCGAGACCAGGCGGGCGCCAGGCGGGCGCCGGCCUGCGCAGUGUCCUUGUUUCCCCUUUGGUGCAAAGGGGGCAAGCACAGGCCAAGGCAUCGGGCAAAGGUUGCCAUUUCGGUGCAAUGAGACCAAGACCAGCAGAGCGGCAGGACGGAGGUCACCGUGGAGCCCAAGACGGCGUCAUCACCAGUGCUUUUGGCAGCCGAAGACCACCUUUGGUCAGGAUAACUUGUACUAUAUGUUCCCCUUCAAAAUGGCCAAUUGUUGGCGCCCUUCCCGCUCAUUAUUUGGGGAGAGGCCCAGGGCCUCUAUAAAUAGGGCUAGCCACCACAGAGUAGAGAGGAGGGGAAAAGAGAUCCAGAAAACCCCGAAACAUCGAGAGAUCUGGUAGAACCCUAGCAGAGAGAGAGAGAUAGGCGACUGAACUCACCCUAGUAGUUCAUCGCACCAGCUCAAGAACACAUCUCGCGAGGCUGUUCUUACCUUGUACUGUUCAUCAUCAGCCCCUGAGGCAAUCCACCACACCACACACUGGAGUAGGGUAUUACACCACAAUGGUGGCCUGAACUAGUAUAAACCUUGUGUCCCUUGUGUUGUUUGUUGUUUCCAACUUAGAUCAUGCGAGGAGAUUGGACGUAGAUCGGUAGGGGAGAGAUCUCCGCGCGCACCCCAUUGUUCGAACCUCAAGGGUCUGCCGGAACCCGAAAUCUGACAUUUGGCGUGCCAGGUAGGGGUGCGCCAGAAUCUUUCUUCCGCCGUUCAUGUGUGAUCUUCCGUCAUGUCCAUGGCUGACGCUCGUCGGGCUUGCGCCGAGCGCCGGGCUACUCUUGCCACCCGCGUCGCCCAGACGACGCCCGUCAGCGGACGUCCUCGUCGUUCCCCGUCGCCUGCCGCCAACGCAGCCACCGGCCCAGCGGGGAACGAGCAGCAGGCCUCCUCCCAGCAUCCUUCGGUGCGGCGGGAGGGCCGCACCGCCACACCAUCGCUGACUCCAGCCGCUUCGUGGUCCCACGCCCGUCGCGCCCCCAUGGACGCGCACGCCGCGUUACUCCUGGCAAGAGAACUCUUGCACUACCGCCCCGUCGACGGCCUCUACGAAGACUGGCUCGCCCGCAUCACCGAGCCCGUCAGCGCCGCAGGGGGCUCCCCCUUGCCGUCCCUCUUGCUGCCUCUCCCUCCAUUCUGCGCAGGAGGUGAGGAUCAGGAGGUGCCUCCACCACCUCCUCCCCAAGGAGGCGCCCUGGCUCCAAGGCGCGCAGCCCCGGAGCGAGACCCUCCGCGUCCGGCGCCUGCGCAGCAAGAAAGGAGCUGCUAAGAGAUUCCUCAUCCCCAAGAAGGCGCUCGCGCGCUCCCGGCGCCGGCGCGCCAAGAUCGCGUCCCUGCACCUCCAUGCCAAGACCCCGCGCUGCUCCAAGCGGCGGCGCGCGGUAAUCCCCAGGAGCAAGCCCAGUACUAGCAAAAGGCAUCGGUGGCCACAGCAGGCUGCCGCGCCCUCACCCCCGAGCUACGCGGCGUCGCAUGGCCAGACAAGUUCAAGCCUGACCUGCCCCCUCGCUAUGAUGGCACGGCGGACCCUGCGGAGUUCCUGCAACUCUAUGAGCUAUGCAUCGAAGCCGCCAACGGAGACGAAAGGGUCAUGGCGAACUGGUUUCCCAUGGCGGUCAAGGACGGGGCCCGCACCUGGCUCCUAGCACAAUCUCCUCCUGGGAUGAGAUGCGCACUCGCUUCAUCGCCAACUUCCAGGGCACUCGCGACCGGCCCCCGGCCGUGAGCGAUCUGCGCCGCAUCAAGCAGCAGCAACAAGGGGAAACCCUGCAGAAAUACAUCCAGCGCUUCAACAACGCUCGCCUCAAGAUCCCCAAGGUGACUGAAGAAGCUAUCAUCUCGGCCUUCUCCGAUGGCGUAUGCGACGUCAAGAUGAAGGAGGAGCUAGCAAUCCAUGAAGACCUGUGCACAUCCCUGGAGCUGUUCAACUUGGCGACCAAGUGUGCCAGGACUGAGGAAGGGCGCCUUUCCCUCCUCGAGCUCCCGACUGUCGACCCAGAAGAGAAGAAGCCCAAGGCCAAGGACGUGAAGCGCAAGGGGGCUGCCGUGAUUGUAGUGGAGCCAGACACCAAGCGAGGCAGGGAUCAGCCUGAGUCAUCCAAGGGCAGCCGGUACUGCAUGUACCACAACCUCCACACCCACAACACCAACGAAUGUCAAGAGCUCAGGGCCGUGAGAGAUGGACUUGUCGGCCGACGCCCCGAGCGCAACGACAGGGGCUAUGGCCGAGGAGGAGGAAGAGGUGGUGGACGAUGGGAAGACCGUGGCCCUCUCCAAGGGUGGCACGACCGACCUCGCGAGGAUCACUGGCGGGACCAGCCUCGCGAGGGAGGCUGGAGAGAUCAGCCUCGUGAGAAUCACCCGCGCGGCAACGCAGGCCUUCCUCCUCUGCCGCCACCGCCAAGGAGGAACGAAGACCAACAUCAGGACGAGGGGGCUGGGGGCUUCCAGGAGCCGCGCGCAAUCGCUUGCAUCUUGGGUGGCACGCAGGCCCCAGCCUCACAGCGCAUCUUCAAGCAGUUUGCUCACGAGGUGAAUGCAGUCCUCCCCAAGCUUGAGGCCAUGCGCCCUCUCAGGUGGUCCGCAUAUGCUAUCACGUUCAGCUCAGCGAAUCAGCUCAAGUGCGCGGCAACGGCCGGAGUCCUCCCUAUGCUUUGCUCCCCAGUCAUCAACAACGUGCAGGUCACCAGGACCCUCAUUGACGGCGGAGCAGGACUCAACGUCCUGUCCGUCGAGACGUUCGACAAUCUCCAAGUGCCGUAUGAUCAGCUUUAGCCAACCAAGCCCUUCUCAGGAGUCACUGAUCGUUCCACUGUUCCGAUAGGGCAGGUUCACCUUCCAGUCACCUUCGGGCAGCGCAACAACUACCGCACCGAGCUCAUCAACUUCGACGUCGUCCACAUCCAUCUGCCAUACAAUGCCAUCCUUGGGUACCCAGCCCUGGCGAAGUUCAUGGCAGUGACUCACCAUGGAUACAAUGUCCUCAAGAUGCCAGGAAGCGGUGGAGUCAUCACCGUACCCUGUGAAGAAAGGGACGCAGCGUGUUCACUUGAGCACGUGUUCCAAGCCACAGCAAUCGAAGACCCGGACCGCGGAAACGAAAGACUUCCCGAGGUGACCCCCAAGAAGAAGAAGGCUUCACCUGGCCCAAGCCAUCAGGAGGCAGGCGCCUCCGGAGGUGUUGGGUCAGGAUCUGCGCCCAAUCAGGGAGCGCCACCCUCUCUCGCAUAGGAAGGCGCACCCGGCGCCCUCCUCAGGCAGGGCUCGGGGGCUCUUUCUUGGAGAGCCACUGACUUUGCCAAGGUCGCGAGGGAGGCGCUCGGGCACCACUUGGAGGGGUGCUUCCAGGCACGUUUCCCUCAGGAAGGUACAAGGCAAGGAAGACCAAACCCUCAGGAGUUCAUCGCAAGCAACACUCAGGAGCUACAGGAGUCGAGAGUCAUGCGCGGCAGCCGCCGCUUGCCCGCCAUGGCCCCACAUCCAGGCGAGGAUGGUGGACUGCGCGUCUACAUCGAUGUACCAGGGCUCAACCGAGCCGUGUCUCAGGAGCGCCUGUGGCCUUCGCGCAUGGUGCGUUGCGAGGGUCCGCCUCACAGCUACGUUCGCAUGGCUUUCGGCCUGCCGAAUGCGGUCGCCGCCCAUCAGCGCUUUCCGAGGAGUAUUCUGGAGGCUCAGGAGGUCAGGCAUCGUGUGGUCCUGGCAGAGAUGGAGAUGGCUCUCAGAGACCCACCUGUGCCCCCGGAGCCUCCCGAGGCUCCUGGGCCUGGGGGCUUGUGAGGGUCGACGUCUUCAUCGCGCAUCGCCCGCUUCUUCAACAUCACUUCAUCUUCAACGGCACCAGGUGACAUCUUUCUAAGUUCCAUUUUUAGCUGGGAGCGCCCAUAGGGCCGCAUUAUUCCUAGGUCGUGUGGGUCCAUCCUUGCGGCAUGUAUCCAUUUUGCUUAUGCCCCUUACUUACCUUGUCGGGGGCGCCCCUUGGGCUGCAUCAUCCCCGAGCUGCUCGGGCCUGGCCCUGCGUCGUUUGCUUUUCCCGCGUCUACUUAAAAUGUAUUUGCUCUUUCGCGCUCAAUUAUCACCUGCUGCUUAUCGCAGACUUCUCCGCUUUCAUGCAAAGCGCUUGCACGUUAAAAGGGGGUACCUGAGCAUCGCGACUCAUGGACUCCUACUGGCUCUCCAGCCCUCACCCCCUGGCCUUGACCCACGGCAUCGCGACCUGUCAUACCAGCGACGGCUGAGCUCGCUCAAGGGCCGGGACCUGAGGACGUACAACAUUUGCAUUCUAACCACCCUGCAGGAACACACCGUUGAUAAAGGCCCAGAGCCAGGCGCAACCCGCCUCGAGGUAGGGCCUCAUGAGUCCCGCGCUGGCUCACGAGUGCCCAGAUACACCUCCCCUAGUCCUACUGUGCUGGCCACGUGUCAGGGCGGGGCUGUACACGCCCCCGGGGCUCCUCCCGGAGGGGAGCCCCCUCCCACGUACCAGUGGAAGCACCAUGCUCCGCGCUGGCUGAUGACACUGCCGAGGAGCGGCUAUGCCCGCACACAUACGGAAGUGCUAUGCUCCGCGCUGGUGAUAAACAACUGAGGGCGGCCUCCGGCCGUACCAACCUCAAGGAUCCCAGAGCUCAGUGUCCGGCACCUUCGCAACGCCUCCCCUCGGGAGCGCUGCGCGAGGGGGCUGGACACGGGGGCUACGCCCGGGCCUCGCCCGAGCGCACGCCACCCAGCCAGGUCCCUCGGACCUGGUCGUCACGUGCCCCUCCCCGAGCGGAGCCAAGGUAUGGAAACCCGUUUGAACGUCAAGGGGGACUCCUGAGCAUCGCGACUCAGGAGCCUAACUUGCCCCAUAGCCCCUCACUCCUUAGUCCCGUCCUGGUUUCCGGUCGGGGCUAAUGCUGGGUGAGGUACGCGCGGGGCCAGGCCCUGCCGACGCAGAAUGAUCAAUCCACUCCUCGUUCCCCCCUUUCCUACUUGUUGCUUGUGCGUCAAGGGGGACUCCUGAGCAUCACGACUAAGGAGCCUAACUUGCCACGUAGCCCGUUGCUCCUUAGUCCCGACCUGGUUUCCGGUCGGGGCUAACGCUGGGUGAGGUACCCGCGGGGCCGGGCCCUGCCGACGUUGAGCGCGAGCAAGUAGGGGAGAAAAAUGCAAAUUCUAGGAAAUUCAAAGCAAAUAUUACAAGCCAUAGAUUGUUUCACGACAUCAAACACAAUUAUAAACGCCUCCGUGAGGCAUGGUGCAUGUUGCAGGAAUAAAAACAAGACAGAAGCCACGAAGGGAUCACUCUCGAGUGGCGUCGCCUCCUGGGGCCGCGGAGCUGGCGGCACCACGCCCGGGCAAGAUGCUAAAGGCGCGGAACCUUCCCAGCAAAGCUUCGGCUGGACCUUUCACGACCUCAGCGGCAGCGGCGGCAAGGUCACCGCUCACGGGCUCCAGCAAGCUGUCGAGGUCGACGUUGGGGUCGCGCAGGUAGACUUGGCUGAGGACACGCGUCAGCGCCGCCGAAGAUAGGGCGCGCGCCUCGGCCUCGGCCGUGGGGCCAAGGCCGUCUACGACAUCUUCAAGCGCGCGGACCAGGUAGGGAAGCAUCUUGGCGGGGCCGUCCUCCGCGCCGGCCAGCGGCUCCUCCAAGCUGCUCUCGUAAAGCGUCUUCAGCGCGGCAUGAGCCCUCUUCUCCAUCUUCGCGAAGGCCACCCGAUCCUCCGCCAGGACCUUCGCCUUGGCGUCCAGCUCGGCCCUCUCCGCCUGCAGCAACUGCUCUAGUGUCUCCAGUUUGCCGUGGCGGUCAUCGAGCUUGGUGUCCCGGUCCUUGACGGCAACCUCCCGAGACUUCAUCUCCUUCUCUUUCUCCUAGCGGCCGUGGACCUCCUUGGCGAGCUCGUCGCGCAGGCCUUGCAGCUCGACCUCCAGCUCCUUGCAGCGAGCCUUAGCAGCCGCAGCGUCGCCCAGGGCAGCGUGGCGGGCGGCCUUGGCUUGGUUGGCGGCCUGCUUCUCCCCAUUGGAGGCCGCCACGGCCUGGCUCAGCGCUGCUCGGACAGAGGCAGCAGAACGGGCCUAGCCAGAAGCUAGCUCCAAGUGUCCGGCCGCUAGGCGAGGGUCUACGCUCAGAAGAUCCUCCUGCAGCUGGCUCAGUUCGCUGGCGACCUGGUCCAGGACGGCGGCAGAGGAAGCAGAAGAAGCAUGAACCAGCGAAGCGGGCGAAGAAGACGGCGGCAUGAUCACGACUUGGCAGGAAGGAACCCCCUGGGCCUUGGAUGCCCCGGCUCCAGCAUCGAGCGCAGUCGACUCCAGGGUCAGCGGGGCCAUGGGGGACGACUCCUCGCCAAGGCGUCCCAGUCGGCCUCGCGAGGACGAUCGGACCAGGGAGGCGCGAGCCGCGCCAUCUUCCUCCCUAGCGGACAAAGGCACCGCCCCGGCAGAUGGACUCGCACCAAGUGGAGCCGCAGAAGCCCCUCUCAACCUCUUCGCUGCAGGCGCCGGCCUGACAAGAGAAUAUGGACGUCAAGCCUCGGCGACAGAAACCAAGAAAAGCGGGAAUCAAGCACUUACUGGUCGUCGCUCGCGGACCCAAGCAACUUUCGGCCGAACUUGAAGCCCAAGAGCCUGCAGCUUGGGUCAUCCUCGGGAGGCCCGGAAGCAGAAGCCACGUCGGGAGGGCUGGGGUUGGCUUCAGACCACCCAGGGAUCAGAGCGGACCCUGGGGGAACCAGCCCCGACCUGCCCUUCCUUGUGACCAAGGGAGAGUCCUCCCCUCCUCGCCCGGCGCCGGCAUCAUCAUCAUCCGGCAUGGAGCGGAGGGCCUGAGACCUGAGCCGAGGGAAGGACUCCCCCGACUCCUCGCCAGUCGCCUCGAAGACGGACUCUUCCUCCUCCGCCUCUUCUUCCUCCUCACUCUCGCUGGAGCUACCGGAGGACACGCCCACCAUCGCCAGUGCCGCAAGAUCCUCGGGAGCUACCGCGGGCACCAGCCCCUCACCGUUGAAGGUGGGCAUGGCGUUCACCACCUGCUCCCAGUCGUCGCAAAGGAACAGGGGGACGGGGGCGCCCACCGGCUUUGCCACAUCUCCCCCAACCAAGAAAUGGAGGGCUGCGACCAGAUUCUCGUCGGUCAAGGCCUCCGAGCUCAGGCGCAAGGCGGCGUCUGCUUCCCCAAGCCUCCACAACGGGAGCGAGUGCUCCUGGAGUGGAGCCACCCGGUGCUCCAAGAACUCCCUUAGGAGCGUGGCUCCAGUAAGCUUCGCCGCCCCCAAGUUGCUUGGCCUCAGGUCCGCGUCCAUCCUCUUCAGCAUCGCCUUCACACAGGGGUUGACAAGCUCCACGCGGGAGCACGCGUCGACGGCCUUGGGCUGCCCCGUAGGCAGCACCAGAUGGGGGUGGAGACGCCCGACAUCCACCAUGACCCACUUGCUCCGGAAGCCUUCGAUCCUCUUCCCAGGCUUCGAGAUGGCAUUGGAAUUGGAGUACGCGAUGAAGCUCGCACAUGCGGAGACAUGGACACCAGAAACCCGGAGGAAAAAAUAGUGACGCAACAAGGCCACCGAGGGCUUUACCUCGACGUGAUCCUCACAGUAGUAAGAAAGAAUUGCCAGGAGAAGAACGGAGUUGGGGUGGAGGUGCAGAGCCUGCAAGUUGUACUGGCGGAGAACAGCAAAGAAGAAAUAAGAGAAAGGAGGCACUAGACCGGCGACAAUGGCACUCACAAAGAGCGGAUAGAGGGUGCUCCCCUUGGCUUCAGGCUGGUCGAAGCCGGCCUUGAGCACAGUCGCCCCCUUGCUUCCCUGCGCCACCGUCAUCAGGCGCGUGACGACAAGGUUCUUCUCCGACAGGUUCGGGGAAUCCAGGGCCGGCGAGUACGAGGCCUCGGUCGGGGACUUGCGAGGUGCCAUGGCGUGCCGGAUGAGAAGGAUUGAGAUAGAUCUAGAGGAUUUCGGAAGCAAGAAGGAGGAGAGUGAGAAAGGGGAUCUGGAGCGAGGCGAAGGAGAACAAAGCAAGUAAGUCUAGCCUGGGCACCUCUUUUGUCAGAUGGGCAGUUGCUGACGCGUCGUGGGUAGCGCAGACGCCCACGUCCAAUCAAUCGCCACGCGGCGCCCAAGGCCGCAGGCUGUUGGGGCCCGUGGCGCUUCGCGCUUGCCCUUUUUCUUUCCUGCUAGGCCAAGCCCGGACGUGCCUUGGGCCCGGGGGCUACUGUCGGCGUUUUGGGAACGGGGGUCCCCAGACUUGCCUGCCUGCGGCCUGGGGCAUGGCUCAAGUGGGGCCCCAGCACGACCCAUCUUCAUCAGCUCAAGCUCAAGACCCUCGCGGGGCGGAUGACAGAAAGCUUCCUCAGAAGCAGCCUCAUCAGGCAGGCUCGUGAGGAGGCGGAGUGAUCAAGGAAGGGGUACCUCGCGAGGAGCCCGUGACGCAAGCCAUGACGAUCAAGACUAGGCGGGCGCCAGGCGGGUGCCGGCCUGCGCAGUGUCCUUGUUUCCCCUUUGGUGAAAAGGGGGCAAGCACAGGCCAAGGCAUCGGGCAAAGGUUGCCAUUCUGGUGCAACGAGACCAAGACCAGCAGAGCGGCAGGACGGAGGUCACCGUUGAGCCCAAGACGGCAUCAUCACCAGUGCUUUUGGCAGUCGAAGACCACCUUUGGUCAGGAUAACUUUUACUAUAUGUUCCCCUUCAAAAUGGCCAAUUGUUGGCGCCCUUCCCGCUCAUUAUUUGGGGAGAGGCCCAGGGCCUCUAUAAAUAGAGAUAGCCACCACAAAGUAGAGAGGAGGGGAAAACAGAUCCAGAAAACCCCGAAACAUCGAGAGAUCUGGUAGAACCCUAGCAGAGAGAGAGAGAGAGAGGCGACUGAACUCACCCUAGCAGUUCAUCGCACCAGCUCAAGAACACCUCUCACGAGGCUGUUCUUCCCUUGUACUGUUCAUCAUCAGCCCCUGAGGCAAUCCACCACACCACACACUGGAGUAGGGUAUUACACCACAACGGUGGCCCGAACCAGUAUAAACCUUGUGUCCCUUGUGUUGUUCGUUGUUUCCAGCUUAGAUCACGCGAGGAGAUUGGACGUAGAUUGGUAGGGGAGAGAUCUCCGCGCACACCCCUGUGUUCGAACCUCAAGUGUCUGCCGGAACCCGAAAUCCGACAGCCCCCUCCGACAGGGUGCUGGAGAGGGCCUAGAUUGGUUUUCGGUGGCUACGGAGGCUUCUGGCGGCGGAACUCCCGAUCUAGGUUAAUUUUUGGAGGUUUCUGUAUUUAUAGGAGAAGUUGGCGUUGAUUUCAUGUCAGGGGGGCCCUCGGGGAGUCCACGAGGCAGGGGUGGGCGCCCCCUCCCUUGUGGGGCCCCCGUGACUCCCCUCCGGUGGAUUUCAUUCCAGUAUUUUUCAUAUUUUCCAGAAAAAAUCUCCGUUGAUUUUCAUCGCAUUCUGAGAACUUCUAUUUAUGCACAAAAACAACACCACGGUAGUUCUGCUGAAAACAGCGUCAAUCCGGGUUAGUUCUAAUCAAAUAAUACCAAAAUCAUAUAAAAAUAUUGUAAACAUGGCAUGAAUACUUCAUAAAUUAUAGAUACGUUGGAGACGUAUCAUACCUCUACAUCUACCUUCGAGAUUAGUUUUAGACCUGAAUAAUUGUUAUUUGGUGCCAGCGUUGAGCAUGAACAUUAUAUCUGGAUCUUGUUUAGUGUGAGACGGUUAUUCAUUUAAAUAAGAUAAUAAUGGUUGUUCUAUUUAUAUGAGUAAUUUUUUU